ACACCGUCGGCGGAUGGAAACAGAAUGGAGUUUCAAGGAAAGAUACUCGAAGGAAGACAAUUAUUAACAGACACCGAGGAAGAAAAUAGUCCACUGGAGCAGAACUCAACAAAGAAGAUGAGACGGUCUUAGCAAUGGCGAGAGUAUGGGUUGAACUCGCACCACCUGUUGAGGUAGCGAUUCUUGAGGAUGCGAACCGGUGAUCUUGAUUUCAAUGCCUCUUGCUUUUCCCUUUUUUUCUCGUCUCUACUAAAAAUUUGCAAUUGUCUGCUCCUUCAAUUAGUCGCAUAGUGCUACUGACAUGGUUGAGGAACUUUUCAUUUCCCUCUCGAUCUCUAUGAUCUGUGAUGCAAGAGUGCACCAAUCCAAUAUCAAGUGGAAUGCUUGCUGAAUGGCCAUUGUCUUCCAAAUUCAGUGAGAUAUAUCACAUAGAACUCUUGUCACCUCUCUUAAUCCAAUUAAUGAUGUCGAUGCUUCAUAUCCUAGAAUUCUUAGAUGGUAAAGCUUUGCUUCUUGAGGAAAGUGUUGAUCUAAUUGUCUCAAAAAUCGAAAGGUCUACACGGGAAUGAUUAGUUGAUUCCUUUGUUGUUCCUAGGCAGAUUGCGUUGGAUAGAUACCAAGGGAGAGAUCUAGCUUCUGAGGCUUUGCGGAUAAGCAAAGGGUACUGACUUAAAAGAUUUUCAUGAAAAGCGAAUGGUGUUUAAUAAACGCCUUGUAAAAUAUUUAUUACAGAACAAUUUUUAGUAUAGAGAAAAAAAAUAGAGAAGGAAUUUGCAGUUGUAUAUGAAAGCACAAGCGGGGGCGACACAACAGUUGGACUGGUGCUGACAUUGUGCAACCCUAGGCAAGGCACCUCUAAAGUUGAGCAAACCCGGCGAUGCAACACUGAGGUACACUGAAACUAAGCAACGCAACACUAGUGUCACGCAACCCCAAGUAAUAGAACGCUGGGGCCACACUACUAGGCAAUGCGACACUUGACCCUUGGCAAGCUAAAUCUGACAUCAAGCGACCCUCGCAAAGCUCCUCAAUGUUGCGUGACCCUCGACAAAGCUUUGCCGAUGUCUUUCAACCCUCGGCAAAGCUGCACCUGCAUCCCUCGGUCCCUCUUCUAAGCUUCUCGGCCAUGAUCAAACACAUCUUUGUCUCUCUUAUCCAAGGUUGAGGGGUAAAAUAUGAUUGCAAAUGUACUAGUGAUGGUAAGAUUGGAAGAAAAAAAAACUUUAUUAAACCCCUAAACUUGCAUUUCAAGAAUGCUAGAGCCCAUACUCGGAGGCUUACCUUGAACUUAGAGCAUUUUCAAAGCAAAACUUUGGAUUAAAAUCUUUGAAAUUGUGUUAUCAAACAUCAAAUCCUUGGCUCAAGGCCCCUUGAAGGUCCAAAAUAGUUUAAUUCAAGAUAACUGAGCACUCAAAUUUUUAAUCGGCCAAAUUGGACGGGAUUGAAACAAAGGGUAAAAUUGAAAUACCGGUACCAAUUAAGGGGUUUUUAUGAGUCCGAUUUUUUUUUUUUUAAAAGUAAAUAUGUUUGAGUAGUACCAACUGAAGAUAUUUUGUUAUAUUAAUCCUAGUAACAUAUUUGUAUUAUUUCCUUUCUUUUUCUCCUUUUCAGUAGUCAAGUCCCAUUUCAUUGGGCAAGUGAAAUGCCAAGUGGCAUUUUGAUAAUUUCCUCUCAGAAUCUUGGUAAGUCAAGUUCCUACUAGUAUUGCCUUUGUAUUCUUCAUUGGCUUUCACUAAAGUUCAUUCUCCUUAUACUUUCCCUCCCAUCAGUUGCCCUUGGUUUUAGUCUUGGUGGUCCCAAGUUGUCCAUUCUUAAAUGCAUAAUUCAAUAAAGUACAAAUGAUAUCGCCAAUCACUUUCUAAAGGCAAGAACUGGUAAGAAUAGACGAUUACUAUAGUCUCCGUACAAGCAACAUAAUCACAUCACGAGUGAAUAUGAGAUGUCAAAUGCUCGUUACUAUACUAUCACUUACAAUCAUUAAGGAUCUGAGAUUAUACACACUAGUGAUGUCUUAUGUCUUUUUUGAAUUGUAACACGUGUUCAUCUCACAUAUAUUUACCACAAAUGAUCAAAUUUCAAAAUCAUGGCAUCACCAUCUUCUUUCCUCCCCUUCCUCUUUCCUUCCCUCUCUCUCUCUCUCUCUCUCUCUCUCUAUAACACAAGUACGAGCACGAAAUAAUUUAUACUUCCCAAAGAAUAGGAAAGAACUACCAACGCUAGUGGCUCUUUUUUAGGUGUAACCCCAUAAAAGAGAAUGUACUUAAUAAACAUCGACUCUUUUUGAAUCUUAUUUUAUGGGAGCAACACCGCUGAGAGAAAAAUAAUUAAUAAAAACUGAAAUAACAUAAAGAUUUUAUUUAGACAUCCAAUCAUUCCGUUUUUUAUGAGCUUUUCCUAGUUCUUGUAACUUAUUUUGAAUUAACAACGUUCAAGAACAAAUUCAAAAGGAUGAGCAAUGUUGGGCAACUACUCGAGCAAAAUCUUGGGCCGACCAGAAUUGAAACAGUCUCAGGUCAAUGCCACCAAAUGGGCAACCAAGACUGAAAUGAUGGGCUGAUCCUCUAGCAGGACAGGAGAAUGGGCCAUCUUCACUCCUCAAAUCUAAAAUAAAUUGACAUUCGGUUAUCCACCUUACCAAGAUUAGAGAUCAUAAUUCAACAAAAAAUUCAACCCCCAACUCCUCUCAAGUAAAAAUAAUGUGAUAGUUACUUACUGGUGGAAUCAAUGUUAGGACAUCACUUGACCAAUUGAGAGUUGUUGCAUUCAACAUUUGAAUGAAAAACUACAAAUAGCAAAAAAAAAAAAAAAAAAUCCCUUUUUCACAACACUUUCAAAGCAGUACUGAACUUUAUUUGAGGAAACUAUUAGAAAUUGGCACCCAACUACUAUGUACUAGUAAAUUUUAAUUGAAGACAAAUGUCAAAAGUGGAGAGGUAAUGAUCUCGAAUCUUACAUCAAUGAUAGCGACAUCGACGACUUCAAGCAUCCUCAAUUAUGUUAGGAUGGACGAGGCCUUGUUCUAGAAAUGACUUAUUGACAAUGUUUGUCAUUCUAUAAAUAUUAUCAAGGGGUCCAAAAGAUCUAAGAAGUAGGGAAAAAUGAAAAAGAAGAAAGAAAUUGCGUAACUUUCACUUUUGAUAAUUGCAAUUAGCUCCUAUAUUUUUAGUUUUUUAGUGUAUAAUCCUCUUAGUUCUUUUUUUUUUCAUUGGUGACAAUAUGAUUUUUUUCAUUAGAUUUAACAAGCUUGAUGCUCAAAAUUUUGUUCCAAAACUGAUCUUCAAUAAGCGUAGGCAAAUCUUUGCGACAAUAUGACUAACUAGCAUUGACAAUACCUACCGGAAAUGAGUGGAUGCAGGGAUAAAUUGGCCAGAGUUAGAAAGAAAGCAAGAUGAAGUAAUGAUAGGAAUAUCCAAAUGAUAUCAUUUCUUUUACUUAAAAGAUAUUUUUAUUUUCUUCUUUGAUUUUGUGUUAGUAAUUUAAUGGUCAAAUCUCACAUGUAAUUGACUUUUCUUUUCUCCUUUCUUAUCCAAUCAGUGUUCUCCGUGGCCGUUGAAUUCAGUUUAUUGUAAAAAAAACGUGGCACUUGAUUUCAGCUGUCGUUUUUGGAAAUUUUUUUUUUGAAGAAAAUGAUAAAAUCGUCUGCCACGAGCCGUCCGAUUGUGUAUAUUUACAAGUGUAACCUUGGCUAUCCUAGAAAAGAGGGGAUGUCGGAAUUUUCUUAAUUUUUGGUGUCCAUUGUAGGGGUGAGCGUGGUUCCCGGUUCUAAAGGGACCGGUUCCGAUUUCCGGUUCCCGGUUCUAGUUCUGGUUCUAGUUCCGGUUCCGGUUCCCCUUUUCUGGGAACUGGAACCUGGGAACCGGAAUCGGAACUAGAACCGGUCCGGUUAGGGCUAAAAAAAAAAAGCCCCAAAUUAGAAAUUGUCUCACAUUUCACACUCUCUUCGCUUGUUCUCCGCGACUUUCACAUUUCACUCUCUCUUUGGGGGGGGCUCCUCACUCGACGCCACCACGGAGGCGCCCUCGACGCCACCGUCGCUCGCCCUCGACGCCACCGCCGCUCGCCCUCGACGCCACCACUGACCUCUGCUCGGCGAGCCACUGCUUCCUCUGUAGAGAGAGAGAGAGCGUCGUUACAGGUGCUCGGCUCUCCCUUCGAGAAGAAGGCAAAGAAGAAGGUGCGUGCGGCCAUGUCCGUGUCCAUCGCUCUUAGCAUUUCGUGGUUUCCCACUGCUCUCUCUUUUCCCUCCAUCCCAUUUCGCGUUUCCGUUUUAACUGAGAUCCAUGCGUUUCCGUGUCUCUCUAUGCAGGUCCCGCUGGAGCUCGAGACCGUUACAGGUUCGUCCCCGUUCUCUCUGGCUUUCUCCUCAUAUUGUCGCUCAUGUCCUUGUCUCCUUUGUGAUCUUUUUGGCUGGCUAUGUUUUUUUUUUCCUUUGACUCGCUCGUCUUGUGCCGUCGUGGCCGGAGUAUAUCGUGUAGUUUCAGUGGCGGAUAAAUGCAUACUUUGGGCUUCUUCCUGGCACCCUCCUUUUAGAGAUAUGGUUUAAAGUGGCUCUGGGAUUUCAAUGGAUGCUGACUGUUUUUCAUAUGAUAGUUACACAUAAGCUUCUGAUUAGAAAGUGACUGACUUGUGUUGAAUUAGUUACUGGAAGUUUUUUUCUUCAUGUUUUUUCUAAUCAUAAUUUUCUUUAGUUGAUGAGCACCUUUUCUUCAAUUAGAACAACAUAGUGCUGUUGAAUCCUCAAGUGAAUUCCAGUUACCUGGAAAAUUGAAUCUCAUUUAAAUGUCUGUAUAAUGUAGUUCUGUCAAAUUGGAAACUUUCUUUUGAUGGUAUUGAUUCUGAAGUCAAACCAUUGUGCUAAUAACUUACGGUCUAUGAAAAAAUGACUGAAUAACUUGAGUGCCACGGGUAUUAACUGGAUAAGAAAAAUAUCAUGCGCACUAAAACAUGUAAUUUUCAGCGAUAUUCAUCAAGAACAACAACUUCUGUGUCUGCCUUAAUCCUCUCAAUGUGAGCUGCAGUCAGGUUAAUCCUCAAACUUCAUCACCACUCCAGUUGUUCCCACUCUGGAACUCCAACUCGGAAGCAUUGACCCAAGUUCCACUACUGUGUUGUGAGAAAUAGACCUCCCACAGCUCACCAGUGAAAUUGCUGAUUGGGAUCCGGAAGUAAUUAUUGCUUUUAAAUCUUGCAUGGAAGCUUUUGUUUAAACCAUUUAUGCACUGGUCGCAAUUUUCCAAUGAAAGUGGGGCUUCCUGUUUCUUUGAUUCAGGAUAUGUGUUCCAAGGUUAUGCAAACUUGUGACAGCUGUAGCCUCAUUUUCCCUCGUAGAAGUAUGAAAAAGAUGGAAGGCCCUAGUGGUGAAGCUCAAAUUUUGUGUAGACAUUGUGCCAAGGUCCAUAGUUGCAUUCUUUUUUUUAAUAGAAUUUUCAUGACAAGUCUACGAGAUGAAUUGGAGUACUGACCAAUGUCACGUGCAUCAUUUCUACAGUUACUGAAAUCCAAACAAUACUGCGGAAUAUGCAAGAAAAUUUGGCAUCAUUCCGACGAUGGAGAUUGGGUAAGAUAUUUGACUGUUGACAUAGUUGACUUAUUCUCAUUGAAAAUGAUGAGUUGUUUGAUGUUGUAUCUUGCUGUGUGGAAUUCUUUUCUAGGUAUGUUGCGAUGGUUGCAAUGUAUGUUUGCAUGCUGAUUGUGCCAAUAUCUCCAGCCGACUUUUAAAGGUGAGCAUGCAUUAUUUGGUUUUGUUCCUAGAUCUAUUUUGCAAGCACAUGGGAAUUGUCUCUGACAUAAUUACACUUGAAGGAGCUACGGCACUCUGAUUACUACUGCCUAGAUUGGAGGCCAAGACCACUUGCAAAAGGCCAAACUUACAGAAAUUGGAGCCAAAAGAGAAGUAUGCUCAGAGAUACGUUACACGUUUUGGUCAGUUAUAUAGUCUGUUUGCAUGUGCGCUCGUGCGUACGUGCGCAUAUGCCUUUAUGGUUGGGUUAGGACUUGAACAAGAUUGCUUGAAUUUGCUUGAAACAGGUUGGUGGAAAACAAGCAAGCUCCUUUGCCUGACAAGGUUUCUGUGGUGUGCAAUGGCAUGGAAGGGUCAUAUAUUCCAAAACUUCAUCUGUAAGCCUUUAGUACUGCAGAUUGAAUUUCGUAUAAUGCUGCUUCAUCUUUUCUGUCCUAUCAACGUUUUUCUUUUCAGCAUUUGUAGAUUGAGCUUCUUUCUUUUAGUUACGACUAAUUAACUUAGCUUAUCGGCUUUUACGGUAUAGUUAGUUUGUUGUCUACUUUGGAAUUUAAGUGAUCCGAAUGGUGUGUGUUGAAGACCUUUUAUUAUGGAAAACCUGCAUAACUUGGGAAAGCUUUUAAUUUACACAGGGGUUGUUGAUAAGCUGUCUUGAUUUCAUUUGUCUUUGUAGAAUUGUGUGCAAGUGUGGCUCAUGUGGUUUAAAGAUGCAGACACGUAGUGAAUGGGAACGGCACACGGGUUGCAGAGCCAAAAGUGGAAGUACAGUGUCAAAAUCAAGGAUUCGAGAGAACCACUGGAGAAAUGGGUUGGUACACUUUUCUGUGACUUCUCGGCAUCACUUGCGCUCUUUCCUCAUCUGUCAACUUAUACUAGACUUGCUUAUCUAGUCUGCUCGAUUCUUCUGUUUAUAAAUAAUCAAUCAUGAACUUUGUUUGAAUAUUUCCAGCGUCAAAUGUACUGAUAAAGUAAACACCAUGGAGUAGCUUUUCCUUAUACAGCUCGUGGUGUGGUGUAGUGUCCAUGAUUUAUACUUUGUGUGUAGAUCUGGUCAUUAACAUAUAACCUACUACAGGGGGGGCAUGGGUUUGUACAUUAUGAUUUCACAUCCAUGUUUUUGGAAUCUAUAGUCUUGGUCAUCUAAAGAAUGCUGUCUUUUAGCGUAUUAAUUAGUUAUCUUUCAGCACACAUCAUUUGAGUUUCUGUAUCUCCUUGAUUUAAUGUUUUUCUCAUGUGAAAGAUUUCCAAUAGAAGCAUUUUUUUACUUAAAAUGAAAAAAAAAAAAAAAGAACCUGUUGGAACUUGGAACUGACCCCGGAACCUGUGAUAGGGUAGGUUCCAGAUUCUUGGUUUCGACGGGUAGGUUCUAGGUUCCAAAAAAAUGAGGAACCUGUACCCGAGGGUAGGUUCCAGGUUCCGCCUGUAAGGAACCGGAAACCGCUCACUCCUAGUCCAUCAUCUCUCAACUUUCCGAACUCCUUAACCUGUUGCAUGCCAUUCGGGUUUUAUAUUUUAGUUUUCUAAUAUUAGUUAAUGUACAAAAAAUGUUAACCCGUGGCAUUCUUUCUUCCUAUUUGGUGAGGUUAAAAAAAUCUCAUGCAAAAUAGAGUUUAUUAAUGUACACUUGUAAUUCAUGGGUUUGUUAUUCUAUCACUAUACUAAAUCCAGCCACAAAAUACAAUUUAUUUUAAGUUAUUAAUGUCUGCUCACUUCAAGUGAUUUUACAAUGUUUUAUACCAAAUGAAGUAAUUUUAGUAUGCUAAAAUGUCUCUUUAUCUAUAGGGUUUACAUGGGCUUCAUAUACAUGUGUUCUCUAUCAGUAUAAUGCUUUUUGUUUUUGGGGUUGGACAUUUUAACACGAUCACAAAGUCAAGUUUGAAACCAGUUGUUUUUUUGCACUCCUCAUAUACAUGUGUUCUGAUAAUAUUUCCAGAUGAUGUCAUUUGGAUCUCACAGGAUUCGGUUUUUUGGCCGGGUAAGUUCUAUGUGUGACAAAAAAUAAGGUACGAAUUAUUCUCUCCAUAUUUAUUUAUUUAAAAAUUUAUUUAUGAUUAUCCCUUGAAAAUCGGAUUCCUAUUCAAAUUUUUUCGGAAACCGCUUAUUGAAAAAUCGUGCCUUUUCGGUUUCCCUUAUUCAGUUUCCAAAAAUUUGCUAUUUAUAUUUUUACAUCUUUUCCAAGAAGUAAUCCUCAUUCUCUUAAACCACUUUCGAAACCCUUAUUCUUCGAAACGUCUCCUUCAUCCUCUCAAAGAUCGAAACUUUUUCUCUCAAAAUAUCCAUGGCCCCAAAAUCUGCCCAAGGAACAAAAUCUAGACCCUCUGCUUCAUGAAGAUCUAGACAUAUAGCAGGAAUGGCAUCGGGAGCGAUGGGGAGCAUCGAGCAUUUUGAACAGUCAGAUUCUUACAACAAUGUCAAUGGUACUACAAGCGAGGCUCCGGUAACCUCUAAGAGUGAUUCUUCGGCUAAGUGGAGAAAGUUGAAAGAGGCCAUUGCAUCGCUCCGAAGCUUAGGAAACAACAAAGAGAUAAUAUCUACCCCUUGGCUACAAAUGGGUUUGACAAUGAGGAGGCUCUAGACUUAAUGUUUGCAAAUCCUAUUCGUAUUAUAUCAUAUGUAGUAGUCGAAACUCUCGUGACCCGACCUCACCACCACCUGGCUCUUCAGGAAAAGAGGAAUGGGGAAAAGUCGGAUUUAGAGGUACUCGAUCACGAAAGUUCCCUCAAAGUUCUCAUUCACAAAAGCGUCAUUACCUCACCUUUCGGACGAACCUCUUGUGAGUUUACUUGAUCAUGGUCAUGAGCUCUUUCAAGCUCAUACCUCGCAUGAUAGCGGAAGGUUUUUUGACCUUAUGCUAAUGUCACGGCACGUCUUGAUCGACAAUUUUAAGUUUGAAGGGAAACUGAAAGUAAAAGUAAGUUUGAGGGUAUUUUACAAUCAUGAUAGGCCUCUUAAGAUGCACAUCUAUUAAAGAUGGCAUCACUUGAUCUUUAUCGACUUCAUCAUCUUGGUAUGUUAAAUCACGGCUGUGAACCUUUUCCAAAGGUCCAUACCCCUCAUGACAGGUUUAAUUAUACAAUUUAGUUGUUUAAGACAACCUAGAUAUAGGAUAGGAGUCGCCACUAGCCUCAUUUUUGGGGGUCGGCUAGAAAACAGAAUCGAGGGUCGGGAGUGGUCUCUCGAUUCCUAUGCAAUCAGAUAUCUAGGUUCGGGGACUUGGGUUAUGCUAAUAUUUCUAUUAGCGUCCUUUCAAUACCUAACAAUAUGUCGUGUUACUUAAGGUGCAUUUUUAUUUACUUUUUUGGGAUUGUUUUAUCCUAAGCUAGAUGAUCAUGCGUGGAUAAUCAUUGUUAUGUUAUUCUAAUUUUAAGAAGGAUAAAAGAAAACAAUCAAUUGAAUUCAGAUUACGAAACAAUAAGUAAACAAUCAAAAAAAGUGGUAAACCUAUCGUGUAUUCAUAAUAAGGAUGGAAAUAAAAAAGGAGUAAGCGAAAAGGAAAAACCCGCAAUUCAUUGGGUGUUUAUACAAACAAGGGGAACCUGAAACAUAUGUCGAGGGAAAUAAAUACAAAAGAGUGAUCAAAAUGGACAUCGACCAUUCAUCAUCUUCAUUUUUAGGAUCCUAAUCUAAACCUAGUCUAAGAAUUAUAGCUAGGUAAAUACAAUGUAAAGAAAUGGCCAUGCAAGUCAAAGCAAUCAUAAACAUGAUACAAAAACAAUAUCAAACAAUUCAACAAAAUAAGUUUGAGCCUCAGGGGUGGCCUUUGGAAACAUGCAUAGGCCCCUUUAGAUACCUACCUGGUUCGUUUUAUGAUUUAAAGCUAUCAUUGACUAAUAGUAUUUUCGCAUGGCUAAUAACGCUUAUAAGUCCCUAAUUAAAGAAUUCUAUGUGAUCCUCGGGAUUUCCCAUUGGUAUCAUACAUCAACCUUAACAUGCAUCUAGAAUUCACAUACAGGCAUUAAUUAAACACACACAUUGUUGACACAUAUUUUUGAACAAAAAAAAACCAAAAAAAAAACAACAAAUUAAUUUUAAAGAACAAAACAAAAACAAAAGAACAAAACAAAACAAACGUUUAGGGGUCGGGUCGAGCCGGAUCCGGCCUUGGCUCGGCUCGCCCCUCUUCCUUUUUCCUUUCCCCCACGCAGCCCAGCCUCUUGGUCUCCUUGGGCUCGGCCUGCGUCCAACGGUCUUCCUCCUCCUGGCCAUCCUCUGCACAUGAGGGAAAAAAAAAAGCAGCAAGGGCACAGGGGAAGCGGGGAGGGUGAGACGGGGAAAAAGAGCGGGAAAAGAGAGAGAUCUCGAGAGGAAAACUUUGGGGGGGGGGGGGGGGGAGGAUGAUGGCGGCCGAGGAGAGAGGAGGCCUUGCCACCUCAACCCGACGCCCCGUGGUCGUCGGGGCCCUCCUCUGCUGGGCACCACUAUUCCGAGCCCUCUGCUUGAGCGACCACUAGCUACUCGCUCGAGUGCCGCCACUACUGUUGUGCUCCCCUAUGCCUGAACUCGUGACGCCAGCAGCCUGAGCUAGUCGCUGAGCCCCCUCGUCGCGUGACCUGUAACACCUGCCGUCGCUGCUGUCGGCCACCGCCGCUCCCAAUCCCCUUGCCAACGACGCUGCUCGAGCUCGAAAACCAUGGCGUCGUCCUCGUCGAAGAAGUCCCCAUGCGGUUCCUGAGCAACCCACCACGAGAUCCAUCGCGUAGGGCUGUUGUCACCUCGUUGAGGCACGUCGUAGACCACUGCCGUGCUGCCAUCCUCGAUGAAGCCUUCGCCGUGCUGGCUUGUGACCCGCCUGCCACUUGCCCGACGCCGUUCGAGCUGCACCUCCGCCCUUCCCCGCAAUUGCCCAUCGUCGUAUUGUCCCUCGUCGUGUCGCUGCUGUCAUCCACACUACUGUUGCUCAUUGCGUUGCUGCCGCCAAGUCGCCGUCAUCCCCGACCGUCCCUCAUCAGCGCUGCGAAGGAGCAGGGGAGAGAAGAGGUAGAACCGGGUAGGGUUUGGUCUUCGAAGCAGGUCGGGCGCGGGUCGCAAAGCGGGUAGGGUUUUUGAGCAAUUUGGGCUGAGUUUGGGCUGUUUUUGCAUGUGGGCUUUAUUUAAAAAAAAAAAAAAUUAGACCAGACUAGGCCUGCACAUCAGGCCCAGCUUGGCAGGUUUUUGUCGGUUUGGAUCGCGCAGCCCGGUUCAGUCCAGGCUUGGGUUGUCUGGCCUGAUUUGGUCCGGGCUCAGGCUGUCUGGCUCGAGCCCAGGGAUCCGACCCAGGUCAUUUUAAAUAUAUUAUAAUAUUAUAAUAAUAUUUUAAAAAAAUAAAAAAAAAUGUCGAAAAUUAAAAAAAUGUAGGGUUUGGUUGGAAAUUGCCAUGUUAUGCCUUUUUAGUAUAAUUAGGCCUUUAUUUGCUUAUACAUUGAUUAUGUCACGGGUUUAAUUUACAUGUUUCAAUUAUGUUGGCAAUUGUUUAGUUGCAUACGUUAUUUCUUUUGCAAUUAGAGCUUGGUUGUUAAUUGUCACUUUAAUGAUUGCGUACCGCAUGAUCACUCACAUGUUAGUGGAUAGGUGUAAAAUCAAUUCAAACUGCUGACAAAAAUCUUUUCUUUUAAAAUGAACAAGAUUAGGUAUUGAAAGGGCACUAAAAGAUCAAUUAGUGUAAUCAAGUCCCCGAUCCUAAAUUUUCUGGUUGCGUAGGAAGUGAGGUAUACUCACAUGCCUCACUUGGUUUCUAGCUGACCCCAAUAGGCUAGUGGCGACUCCUUUGUGCAAAAUUCUUAAAAAUACCCCAAUGUCACGCGAGAUAUGGGUUUGGGAGAGCCCGCGCCUAAUGAUGGGCCUUAGGUCUAUCUUUUAGUUUAUACCCCUAAACCUAUUCCCUCCCCCAAGGGGUAAGUCGCGACACAUGCCUUUUGGGCCUUAUUUCCCAAUCAAUCAAACAAGAUGAGUGAACCGUCAGUGGGUCAUUUAUUGCCAAGGCACGCGUCAAUCCCGAACACAAGCAUUUCUAUCAAAUGGCGUGAUUAUAUGGUACAUGUGACGUCUCAAAAAUGGAUUCGAAAUCAUUAAAAAGAUUUUUGAGACAAUGUGAUGUCUCGGUUAUGAAACACAUUUAAUUACCAAACCUACCUAGGGUUUGCAUAAAUGUACUCACAAGCAUCGUAGGUAUUUUGAAUACAGUCCAAACCAUGACUUUCACAAUGUCAAAUCAAAGCUUGAAAAGAUUUGAAUUCAUUUUGGACUAAGGAAUAUCUAGGCUAUGAAAUGCAUUUAAUUGCCAAGACUAACCCAAGACUUGCAUAAAUGCACUCGCAAGGGUCAUAGAAAUUUAAAACACACUCCAAACCAUGAUUUUUCCUAAGUCAAAUCGAUUGUUGAAAGAAUUUCUAAAAUGUUGCUUUUUGAAACGUCACAUGUACCAAAGCGAUUUCGAGAUACAAUUUGAAAAGUCCAUUCAUUGAAAACCAUUUUGACAACGACGAUAAGGGGAUUUGCAACACAUUUCAUGAAGAUGAUAUGCCCUCAUAUCAUAGACAAACUAACCUAAAGAUUUAACUAAACAAUCACAACAACAAAUUCAUAUCAAAAAAUUUCAAACCAAGCACAGCAAAUCAAUGGAAAGUAUCCAUCGAUAAUCUAACUAUAAGAAAAUUUCCUAACAUGCACAACAUGAUAUAGAAUAACUUUCGUGAAGGAAGUUUUCCAAAAGAGCUAAGCAUGAUUUUGUAAAAAUCAGAAAGCAAGUAACAAUGCAUCAAGAAGUUGUCAAAACAGCAGAACAUUCAGUCAUUACUACUAAGAUUAAAUCUACCAAAUGAAGUCUAAAAAUCACAAAAUUUUCAAAAAAACAUAGCAAACAUGAUAAUAAACAAACUUUAUUAAGGGACCAAGUCCAGAAUCCUUAUAAAAAAAAAUGGUACAAAAAUGGAAAAAGUCUAUCUAAAUAGGGGUAAAAACAGUCUAUCUAAAUAGGGGUAAAAACAAGUGUCCGAAUUUGAUCCUUUAGUCCAAAUUCUAGCCUAGCUUAGAAACAUAGGAAAUAGACCUAACAAUAAGUAAUUUGCAUGAAAUCAACGAUAUUUGAAAGUUCUAGGUGUGCUUUACAACUUCCUAGAAGGGCCCGCUUCCAAUCAAGGUCAACUUGGUAUUCUAACACAAAGGUCUCUAAAAGCGUGCACAUCACCUUUUAAAAACCAGAAUACAGACAUGCAUUAUUGAACCUCAAAAUCAUUCAUGUAAUGCACAAAUGGCAUGAAAAAAUCACAUACGACUUAGAAUUAGAUGUGACAAGCAAUUUGGAUAAUCAUCUAACCUUAAGUCGACAUGCAAAAACGUCAUACAUUCAAUGCCAACACAAGAUUAUUUAGGAUUUAUAAUGUCAUGCUUGAAAGUUUUUAAGUGUAAUAGGCAUUAUCGUGACAUGAUUUUCACAUGCGAAAUGGUGUUCAAUCAUGAUGAACCACAUACGCACACAAAGCUUGCUAUAUGUAGUUCUAAUAUCAAGAAGGCGCUAACGUAAAAUUUGGUCUCUAAGAGACCCAAUCAAGCAUACAAAAGUACGCACAUGAUAAGAUUUCAAUCCUAUAACAAGAGCAGAGAGCAUUCAUAAUUUUGAUCACUUAAAGGUAUGCAUAAAUCCAACGAAAAACGUGUCAUAGAAUGAAAGAUGACGGACAUUUUUUGUUAAGAACUCAAAAGCCAAUUUUGAUCACACGGGUGAUGACGAAAAUGGCAAAACUGAUGCGCGCUCUUAACUUUCAAAUUGCAGCAGGACCUAUAUGCGUUUAAACAUGAAAUCGGCAUAUCAAAUGGCAAUAAAAUCAUGCGAAUCAUGCAUCGUUGUAACACAUACGUCAUGUAUAUGAAGUUCAAUGAAGAUCGUAAGAUUGAAAGUCUUAUCUAUAUGCCUAUUUUCAUCAUAUGCAACUCGAAAUGGUGCGGGGCAGCUUAACCUUGGCUUAGAUCUAAGAGGUUUUGACCCAUUAAAACACAUUCGAAAAUUCUGAAAAAAAAUAGCAGGUCAUUCUCAAGACAAAGUGGAACAAGUUUCAUGAAGGAAACUUUGUCCGGAAAUCAUCACGGAAAGCAAGACAAGACACUAAGUCGGACCAAAAACAGAAACUAAAAAAAAAAAAAAAAAUCUGCAGAAGACUCGUGAAGUAUAUUUUCUAUGUUUACAAAGACUCAAGCCAAAAUAAGGCCGUUUAAGACCUGGUUUUUGUCGAAACAGCAAGCCAGUUUCAGAAACAUGAAAAUCAUAAAUUAGUGCCAAAAUCAUUCAAUCAACAAUGAACUUGCAUUCAAUCUAUCUUAAAGAUAAACACAUAAUCUUCAGAUCUAAAGCUUUUUAUUGAUCUAAUAGUGAAUCGUAGCGUCGAUUGGAUAAUCCAACCUCGCUUCACGGGAUUCGAGUUUUAAAAAUUUAUUUAUGGUUAUCCCUUGAAAAUCGGAUUUUUAUUAAAAAAAAUUCGGAAACCGCUUAUGGAAGAAUCGUUUCUUUUCAGUUUCCCUUAUUUAGUUUCCAAAAAUUUGCUAUUUAUAUUUUUACAUCUUCUCUAAGAAGUACUCAUUCUCUAAAACCACUUUCUUUCUCUUCAAAACCCUUACUCUUCGAACAAAUUGAUCGUCAUUGGAGCAUGAAUGGAACUUCGAGAUCACGAUCCGACCGCCACAAGACGCCAUGAGUUCGGAUAAGCCACCAAUUUGGCCUAUGAAGUAGCAUUGUUCCAAACUUGGACCGGUUUGAGAUCGCCGGGGAAAGAGUGGAUUGCCAGAAGAGAUCCGAGCAGGUAUUGCCCAAGUUCCGACCGUCCAGAGGUUAGAGACAGCCUAAGUAGUAGAUCGGCGACAGUUGUUGGCUUGAGGAAUGGCUAGCGAUUACCAGUUUAGCCGAUCCAAGAUCCGACCGAUUUUGGAUUACUGUGGUUUCAAUAGCCACCGGAGAUGAUCCAGGGGCUCUUCAAUCAAUUUCUGACUUAUAGAUGGUCGGAGACUCACCUAGGAUUGAAUUUGUAGGAAUUCAAGUCGGCGGAAGACAACUUACCUGAUUUCGAUGCGCAAAUAGCAAUUAACCUUGGAACGAACAUUGAAUUGCAAAUGAAUUACGAACAAAAAACUAUCUCACGUUGGUCUGGAUGCGAUCACGAGGAAAACACCUGAUUUUUACAGUGUAAAUGCCGAUUGUUCUCGUAAAGAAGAAAAUGGAAUGCCUUCUUCUUUGAUGGAAAAGGGAGAGAAAUUUUUGUUGCAAAUGAUCUACCAACACCUCCAACGGUUGUGUUCGGGAGGCUUUUAUAUGUCUCUCUUUGUACCCCUCCAUUAGUGUCUUUCCAUCGUAACGUAUCAAGUCGAUACGGUGCGAUCCAAUCACACCCCAUCAUGGACGUACCAGCUAAAGUACAACAUCUCCCACUCGGACAUGAUGGGCUUGAUAGCGCUCUAUCAAGAAUAUAAGGCAUUCAACAUUCAUCAACUUUACAAAACAAUUCAUACUGGCAAAUAAGUCGUGCGACCAGUGAGUACACCUGCACUUGGGAGCUCAAAUUAUGCACCUGUUAGGGAUGACAUAAUGGCUACAACCCCGAAAAGAAACAAACAAUCGAUGUCUUACAGUGCCCCAGACAUAUUUUGUUAUAUCAAUCCAAGUAUACCUAUCCCUUAAAGGCUAUAUUUGACUAUUCUCAAAACAACAUGUAUUUACAAUUACAUCCGCAACCACAGAGGGCGAUAUAAUUGGUCAACCAGUAAAUACAUGUGAUAGAUGUAAAACAACAAUAGUCUUUCUUCGCACUCAUGUCUCUCUCCAUUUCAGAACAACUGCUUUCCUAGACACGUCCCAUAAGACCAUAUCUAUUCAUGACCGCCAGUAACAUGCUAAAGUAGCAACAUGAUCUUUUACUUUGAGAACAUAGUCAGUAGUAACAUAGGGCACAAAAUUGAGGUAAAUUAUGAAUUACCUCAAGGGCUCACACAAUGAGUAAAUAGGGAUAAUUUUACUCACCUUCCAUUAUCGGUCGUAUAAUGCACAUGUAGUAUGAAUUACAUGCUAUAGUGGAUUACUCUUUCUAUAAGAGCGUAUGUCAUUUAUCGAAUAUACCCACUAUAUGGAUCUUAGCCUAAACAUAGUCACGUACUUCUCACAUACUCAUGUUUAGCCCGAGUGCUAUAUCAGCUCGCUUUCUAUAACGCCCAAUUAAGUACUCACAUCCGGUAUUUUUCAGGCAUACAUGAUUGUGGGAAUAUCAUGUUCGGUCUUGUUAUAAACAAAUCACAGACCUCAUAUUGACUCUAAUCAAUGCGACAUAUUUUAUGUACCAGACUUGCUCUUCAGCAUUUAUUUGUACAUAACGUCUCAUCUCAACAUGCUAUCUAAAGCACUUGAGGCAAUUGCUCGUUUGAGUGAGCCAAUCAUUACCUGCUGACAUAUUUUUCAAUAAUACAUGUGUGUUUGUGUUAGUCUCAUAGUGGAUUUGUACUUAUUGAUAAAACAUCAAAUCACUAAUAAAUAAAUAAGUACAAUACAUCUGUUUACAAAUACAUAAACCAAUGAUCCUCUACAAUAACAUAUAUCACAUUCUACGCAAUCCUAGUGACAUUCUAUGGGUCAAGAAUAUGUCUCUAGGAAUAGCCUUCGUAAGCAACCAUUCUAUUGGUUGAAAUAUAUUGCAGGAUCACUUCUUUCUGCGCUAUAAUAUCUCUGAUGAAGUUGUUCUUUAUGUCAAUGUGUUUUGUCCUUCCAUGAUACUUGGGAUCUUUCACAUAGGCAAUGGCUGCUUGAUUAUCGCAAUAAACUGUCACCGGUCUUGGAACCUCAGUAAUAGUGGCUAAAUUUUCCAAGAAACAUUUUAGCCAUACUACUUCUUGCAUUGUGGCAGAACAUGCAAUAAAUUCUGCCUCCAUCGUAGAUAAGGCCAUGCAUGUCUGUUUUUUGUUAUUCCAAGAAAUCGCACCUCCUUUGAGCAAGAACACAUAUCCAGAAGUCGAUUUAUGCUCAUCCAGGUCUCCACCCCAAUCGGCAUCUAAAUAGCUUAAUAGGCGUAAAUCAUUCCCUUGGUCACAAAGUCGAUAGUCCAUAGUACCUUUCAAGUAUCUUAUGAUCCUCUUCACUACUUUCCAGUGAGCUUGACCAGGAUAUGAUUGAUAUCGGCUCAACAAUCCCACGGUAUAACAUAUGUCAGGUCGAGUACACAUCAUAGCAUACAUCAAACUUCCGACGGCACUAGUGUAAGGAACAGUUUCCAUCACUUUAACUUCUUCUGGAGUCUUAGGACACAUCUCAGUACUUAUGCCUUCACCUUGCAUGACAGGGGUAUCAAUGGGAUUAUAAUGCUACAUAUUGAAACGCUCAAGAAUCUUCAUAAUAUAAAACUCUUGUGAUAAAGUAAGGAGUUUCCUUGAUCGAUCUCUUUCGAUCUUAACUCCUAAUAUAUAAGCAGCUUCUCCCAUGUCCUUCAUUUCAAAAUUAGAGGACAACCAUUCUUUUAUUGUGAUAACCAAAAUCUUGUCAUUUCCAACCAAUAGAAUAUCGUUCACAUAAAGUGAUAAAAUCACAAUUCUAUUUUCGGACCGCUUGACAUAUACACAGUGAUCUUUCUCAAUCAUCAUGAAACCAAAAGUGGUUAUGGCUCGAUGAAAACGAAGAUACCAUUGUCUAGAUGAUUGCUUAAGGCCAUAUAUUGAGCGAUGAAGUUUGCAAACUUUAUGCUCUUGACCUUUUACUACAAAACCUAUUGGUUAUUUCAUAUAGAUUUUCUCAUCUAGUUCUCCAUUGAGAAAUGUCAUCUUUACAUCCAUCUGAUGUAAUUCAAGGUCCAAAUGUGCUAGAAUAAGGCAUAUUGAGGCAAACCUUAUAACUGGUGAAAAAGUUUCCUCGUAGUCUAUACCCUCUUAUUGAGUAUAACCUUUCGCCACAAGGCGAGCCUUAUACUUUUCAAUGGAUCUAUCUGCACUUCGCUUAAUCUUGAAGACCCAUUUGUUUCCUAUGGCCUUACGAUUGGGUGGUAGAUCAACCAAGUUCCAGACAUGGUUUACCCUCAUUGACUCCAUCUCAUCUUCCAAAACUUUUCUUCAUUCUUCCUUAUCAGAGGAUGAGAGAGCCUAUUGAACAAUCUUAGGCUCGGCAUCGUCAUUUUGAGCAAUCAUAACCGCUUUCCCUUUAAUCUCAAAACGACGACUAUGAAUACUUUUACGAUUACUUUUACGCAAUUGAAUUUCUCUUGAAUUCAAUUCGUUAGGCGAUGCAACACUCCCACUAGGUCUUGCAUGUUAAGGCAAAUUUUCAUUUCCCUCUACAACAUCAGUGGGUGUGUUAUCAGAAUCUUCUAUCUCAUAUAAUUGGAAGUCAUUAUCAAUCUCACAUCUACUAGGAAAAUCGUUCUCCAAGAACGUGACAUCUCGUGACUCCAUUUCGGUCACACUUCCAUCAGCUUGUUCACCUAUGAACACGUACCCUUUGGAGUGUUCAGAAUAUCUUAUAAAGAUACAUUUCUUCCCUCUAGGACCUAAUUUGUCAUAUUUAUGGGAAGAGUCAUGAACAUAAGUUGCACAUCCCCAUGGACGUAGACUACUCAAGUCUGGUUUCCUACCAGUCCAUAAUUCAUAAGGUGUGGAAGUGACCGAUUUUGAGGGCACUCGAUUUAAGUAUAUAGGUAGCAGUCAAUAGGGCAUCUCCCCAAUAGGAGAUAGGUAAAUUUGCUUGCGCCAUCAUAGACCUAACAAUUUCUAAUAGGGUUCUAUUCCUUCUCUCAACUACCCCAUUUUGUUGUGGAGUACCAAGAAUAGUCAAUUGUCGUACAAUUCCCUUCUCAUCACAAAGAGCCUUGAAUUGCUCCGAUAGAUACUCACGUCCACGAUCGGUUCUCAAUACCUUUAUUGUUUUGUUCAACUGAUUCUCUACCAUCGCUAUAUAUUGUCUAAAGUAGUCUAAUGCUUUUGACUUAUGGGAGAUCAGAAAGACAUAACCGAAACGUGUGAAGUCAUCUAUGAAAGUGAUGAAAUAUGAGGCUCUAUGUCUCGCCCCCACAUUCAAAGGACCACAAAUGUUAGAAUGUAUGAGUUGUAAUGGAAAUUCAGCUCUAGUUCCUUUACCGAAUGGUUUUCUAGUUGUUUUCCUUGUUAAACAAUGUUCACUUAUGGAUAGACUAAUAUUAGUGAGUGACCCUAAAAGGCCUUCUUUAGCUAAUCUUUGCAUUCUUUGCAAUCCAAUGUGACAUAAUCUAGCAUGCCAAGUACUUGCAUCAAUGUCAACAUUACUAGAAGAUGCAAUUAAAGAAAAACAACCAUUGACAUUAACAUUGUACUGAUCAUAGUCAAUGUCUAACACCAUAAAACCAUUUGGUACAUGACCUGAACUAUAAUAAACUGUUCCAUACAAAAUGUCAACACAAUCACCAUAGAAAUUCAAUACAUAACCUAAGCUAAGAAGAAUAACUACAGAGACUAAGUUUCGUUGAAUAUAUAGAGCACAAAGGACAUCAUGCAUGAAUAUGUUUCGACCACCACGUAAAAUUAAUUUACAUGUGCCGAUACCCUUCACUUCAACUCUUGAGUUAUUCCCAACAUAUAUCCAUCUUCUUCCAGGCGGUAUCCAACGAUACUCCACAAAUGCUUUUUGGUCUCUGGCUACGUGGUCUGUUGCUCCUGAGUCUACAGUCCACAUUGGAUGAGAUUCAGCAAGCAUUACAGUACUAGAAACAAAAACAUUACUCAAAGUAAUGGAGUAAUAGGGUACUUUUUUUGGCUCAGUGCAUUCACGAGCAAAGUGACCCAUCUUGCCACAAUCAUAGCACUUCAUCUUAGCCUUGUCCUUCUUCCCACCAUGCUUCUAGCGUCGGAAGGUCUUAGCUCUCUUAGUUGCUUGAUCAGUUUUCUUCCCUUUGUUGUUGAAUUGAGAAUUCCUUUUGCGCUUGAAGCCCAAAGCCUUGCGUGAACUCGAUUAAGCAACAUAAGUAUGGGUAGAGGAUCUCGCAGCCUCUAGGCGCUCAUUCUCUAAUUCCAAAUGACGCGCAAUAUCAUCAAAAGUGACGAUGUUCUCAUUAUGCGUCAUAUUGAUCUUCAUAUACUCCCAAUUGUUCGGAAGAGACCUUAUAACAACCUAAACUUGUUGUUCAUUAGUAAGGAGUGACCUGCCGACUUCAGCUCACGGAUCAUGUUUGACAUCUCCCGAAGAUGCUGCCUCAUCGUUACAUUUGGGCGCAUUCGGAAUGUGUCAAACUUGAUGGUGAGUCUCCUUAGCUUAGUGGCAGAUGUAUCCCCGAACUUAUCUUUCAAGGCAACCUAUAUAUCUUGAGCUUUAUCAUAACUUUCAAAUUCACACAUGAGAUUGUUUUGCAUAUAGCUCAGUAACGUGAUGUAACCAAUACUAUUUUUCUUUUUCCAAGCUUGAUAAGCUUCUAGAUCUCUCCUAUGUUGAGCUGAAGUUCCAUGCUUAGAUUCAUCCAUGGUAUGGUUGAGGGUUUUCAAAACCUCUUGCUCCCCAAGGAUGUACUGAACCUUUCGGUGCCAAAUAUCAUAAUUAUCACCGUUCAGCUUCUCACCCUUAUUGAGGUCAGCCACAAUGGUCUUGGAUGCUGAAGCCAUAAUUAAUUACUAUAACACAUUGACAUAAUAAACGCAAAAUCAAUAUUAGCACAUUGAUUAGAGUAACACACAUAUUUAAUUUGCAGCAAAGACAAAUUAAAUUAAUGAUAAUUCAACAAAAGACAUAGAGGCAAAAGUUCACUAUGUUCCUAAUCAACUUCUAUGUACAAUUGUUCUAUUAUCAUUAAUUAGUUUAAUUUGUGCAAAUUUUAAGUUCUAGGUGAGAACUCUUUCAAAUUCUACCAACUUACGAACUUCCACUAGGGAAAAUAAUUAUAUGACCUUAUGUAAUUUCUACAUUUUUCCUUAAUACAAAAACAUAGUAUGAUAAUAACCAACGUAUAAACAACAAUCAUGCUUCAACUAUAAUAAAAAAUCGCAAUUCAACAUGUAAUGGAUUUCCUACCAUUGUUAGAAUUUUCUAGCAACUAGAAAAUUGCAAGUAUAUUAAAAUAUAUAUAUGAUAUCAUCAAACUAAGCUCUACACAGCAUAUAUAACAUCAUUUGCACACAAGCUAGCUACUGUAUUUCUUAAACCACAAGAAAAUACAAGCUACAAAUGAAUAAACUAUGCAUUAAACCCCAAAAAAUACGCUUACAUAGGGUUUCCUACGCAUUUUCAUACAUUUAUAAAAUUCAAAAGUAUAAAAUAAUUAUACCACAGUGUAGAGGACACUAAUACGAACCAAACGCAACCGACAACACUUCAAUCGGAGAUCGCACGCGCCCUCACACGCCGCCUGAGUGCACGGCGCAUGUGACGCACGUGCCAGUGAGGCAAACAACUCCUGGCCAGUCUGACCGGUCCAACCGGUUUGACUAGUGACUAGUCUGAUCGGUUGGACCGGUUCGACCGGUUCGACCCAUUGAUCAGUCAACGGUUGGGUCGGGUCGGGUCAACCUCGGGUCAGAUUUCGAGUCGGGUCGGAUCGCCAGCCGGUGACCGGCCGGCCAACUUCCGCCAGCGCUGACGUCAUCGAUGAUGUCAUUUAAGCGGUUAUCGACCGUUUGAUUACGCCAUUCGUGACGUCAGCAUGCGUCGCUUCGCCAACGCGCGCGCGACGCUCAUGCGUCGAUUAGCCGACGCCAGCGUGUGACGUCACGCGCCGGUUCGCUGGUGUGCCCAGCGCGUCAGGCGCGUGGUGCGCAUGCACAGUGGCUUCUGGCCGCGCGUGUAGGCGCAUCCGGCGUCCUCCGGCGUCGCUCGACCCAUUGUCGAACUCGUCUCGACGAGCUCUUUCACCCUGUAUAUUCAAAAAUUAAUUUUGGCCAAAAAAUUAUUUCGAAAAUUGGCCAAGACUGCACUGAUGCACGCGACCCCAAAUCUGUUCUUCGCUUUUGGUUCGAUUUUUCGAUGAUUCAUAUAUCAAUUUUGAUUAGUAAACAUCCAACCAAUGUAGAUAUCAUACUCUUGAUCUCGAUAUCAAGUGGUGAACUGGAAAAUUCAAUGAAAAACAAGGUAGAAACCACGACCGGGCUCUGAUACCAAUGUAGGAAUUCAAGUCGGCGGAAGAUGACUUACUUGAUUCCGAUGCACAAACAGCAAUUAACCCCAGAACGAAUGUUGAAUUGCAAAUGAAUCACGAACAAAAAACUAUCUCACAUUGGUCUGGAUAGGAUCACGAGAAAAGCACUCGAUUUCCACAGCGUAAAUGCCGAUUGUUCUCGUAAAGAAGAAAAUGGAAUGCCUUCUUCUUUGAUGGAAAAGGGAGAAAUUUUUGUUGCGAAUGAUUUGCCAACACCUCAAACGGUUGUGUUCGAGAGGCUUUUAUAUGUCUUCCUUCAUACCCCUCCAUUAGUGUCUUUCCAUCGUAACGUAUCAAGUCGAUACGGUGCGAUCCAAUUGCACCCCAUCAUGGACGUACUAGCUAAAGUACAACAUAAUUGAAAGUGGCUGAGGGUGUUGAGGGUGUUGGAGACGGCUGCCGUGUGGCAUCCUAUAAUUUCUUGUCAAUCCUUAGAAAUGCUCAAAUUCAUGUUUUUGCAUUGAGAUUUUGGCCAAGCUUUUGGUGGGUAAUUAUUUAAUAGGAAAAUUCUAUUUUUGGCCAUGUGAAUUAUGGAUUGGAAUUUAUUAAAUUAGGUCACAAAGUUUUGUGAAUUAUAAAUUUCAAUUAGGUAUUUAUAUAAUUAAGGAUUAGGUGGAUUAUUAGGAUGAUGAUGGGCUAGACAUUAAAGGCCCAAACCAGCCCAUAGCCUCACCCCAUUCUCAGCCGGCCCACGAAGCCCAAGGAGGAGAGCUGCCGUCGGCCAAGCUGGCCCAAGCCCAGCCGAAUUUGGAGGCCCAUCUUGCAUGGAAAAGGGCCAUGUGUUUCCUCCUAGCUGCCAAGUGUUCUCCAUGCAAAUGCUAAUGAUGGCUAAUGAUGGAGGGGAAGAAAAUUAGAGGAAGAUGAUGGCCGGUUUAAGCGAGAGAGAGGGAGAGAGAGAGGGAGUUCGUCCGAGAAAGAGAGAGAGGAGAGAAAUAGAAGGAAGAAAGGAAGAAAGGGAGAAAGGAAGAGAGGAAGGAGGAGGACCACUAGUCGAUCGUCCGCCUUGCAUCCGUCGUCCGUCGACAUGUCCCGUCGCUGUUUGCUCGAUUUAGAGGCAAGUGGGAUCCUUGAUCUACUCUUGCAUGUUGUGCCUAGUGUGUAUGAUUGAAUGGUGACAAAUUUCGGAUGUCUAGGAUGUGAAAAAUUGAAGUUUUAAGAGUGAUGUUCUAGGCUAGUAUAUUGUUCUUGAGAAAACAGCUCGACCUUGGAUGUUCUAGUGACUUGCAUGUGAUGUUCGAGUUGGAUUUUGGCUUUGACUUCUAAAUGAAAGUUAUUAAGGACUUCUUGGAGUAUAACAUACUCAAAUUUGGGACAAAAAAAACAAGUAUAAGUGGGUGAAAUAUUUAUUCUUUGGAAAGACUGGAUCUGGAGAUUUUGGUACCCACCUUUGAUGAAUGCAUAGACUGUUAGGCAAUCUUUUGGUUGAAAUUUCACUUUGAUUUCUUAACAAAAGAUGUAAAGAACAUCCUGAGGUUUAACAUAUAAAAAUUUUAGAGAAAACCAACAAGAAUAGGUAGGUGAAAUCGUGAUUUUUCGGAGGUAGUUAGAUCUGGAAAUUUCGGUACUAGGGACAGAAGUUUUAACCGCCUAUAUUUAAUUAGCUAGGACGAAUCGGACUUUUAUGUCUUCAUGGAAUAUCUCUGUUCAUGUCUUGCCUACAACAUAUUCAAAUUUUGUAAUUUUUGAAGUUCAUUUUCCUAUUUAACCAAAAAUGUUUCAAAAAUUAUGCAAGUGGAACGGACAGAAUUAGUAGUGCUGUGAUGUGUGGUCUGUAUUGAACUAUAUGGAGAUCUUUUGGUGUAGUGUUCUUCAUGGAAUAUCUGCCUUUAUGUCUUGACUAUCACAUGUUCGAAUUUCAUAAUUUUUUAAGGUCAUUUGGGUAUUUAAUUAAAAUUCUUUCUAAAACUGUGCAAGCUGGAUUGUGCGAAUUUCAAAAGCUGUAAUGCAUGGACUAUUCUGUUUUGUAUGAGCCCCAUGAAUUAUAUUGUUUUAAGUGAUUGAAUCUUGCUGCACAUGUGAUGAUAUUUGGCAUUACAUAUAAGAUCAAAAGCUGAAUUGACUUUGUUGCCAUCACAUCAUGUGCCAUGUUGAUAUUGAGACACAAAUGUGAAUAUGAAUUAUGGGAAAUGAGGAUACCGUUGGAGGUGUGAGCCGACAUGCCCUGGGAGUGUCAGGAUGCCCGGAAUGUGGGGGUGCCGGAUGCCUGGAAUGUAGGGGUGCCGGAUGUCCUCGGGAGUUUCGAGAUGUCCAGUGGUAUACGGUACGUAAUUCCAGGGGGAAUUCCUGGUGGUAUGUCGGUACGUAAUCCCAGAAGCCCUGGAGGUGUGUGCUGGGGGAAUUCCUCAUGAUGCUAGUUGGGAUACGAGAUGCCCGGGAUGUGGGGGUGCCGGAUGCCCGGUGGUGUGUGCCGGAGGUUCCUCGCGAUGUUAGGUUGGGUGCAAGCGAUAAAAUGUGGGAUGCAAUUAUUGGUCCCGGAAAAGAAAAAUGUGGUGACUCAAUUGAAAGAUAAAAAGUUGAAAUUGAAUCAUGCAUGGUAUGGUGAUAUGUAUGCAUGGCUGUAUGAUAUAAUAUGUAUGAGUGCAUGGUCGUAUGUGCACAUAAGGCAUGGAUAUGCAUGAAUGCUUGAUGAUGAGUGCAUGGAUGUAUAUGUACCUAUGGCAUGAUGGUAUAUGCAUGAAUGAUUGAUGAUGAGUGCAUGAUGGUGUAUGCACAUAUGGUAUGAUGACAUAUGCAUGGCUGCUAGGUAAGUUAUGCUUGGAUGCAUGAAUGUUACGUGCUUAUUUAUGAUACCUUGAUUGUUCUGUUUGAUGUAUUGAGUAGUUUAAUGGAUCUUUUACCUGCUGAGUGGUUGUACUCACCCCUUUAAGGACCAAUAUUUCAAAGUAGAAAGAUGCCUCUCCCUCCGGUCACGCGGUGUACCUUUUAUGGCCUUCCAUCUAACGUGGAGGUCGAGUGUAUGGAGCUUAAUUGUGUUACCAUCCCUGGUUUGACGUUUAUACGGGUUCGUGUGCUGGUGAUGUAUGAUGUGGGCCUGGCUAGGGGCCCGGUCAUCCAGGAGUUCUUGUCGGUCCACGUCCGCCGAGACGGAGUGAUGCGGGGGAUGUUGCCGCCGCCAUCACUCGACGCAUCGGGAUGGGUGUGAUGGUCCGCGUGAGGAGUGGGAGCUGACACUUUUUGAGGAUAGCCGACACUUGUAGAUGGAGGGUUACACGUGAUUGAUAUAGGGGGUCGAGAUCUCUCUUUUUGAGCUGUGACCAAGUUUAGUUAAAAGUCUUGACUUUACUUUUUGGUUGUACCGACCCGAGAAAUCCAUCAUGAAAAUAUAAAUAAAAGUGACUCGGGUUUAUCUUUUCUUAUGGUGCUUAGUUGGUGUGCAAUGUAUUAUGGUUAUUGGAGGGAGAAAUGGUGAGAUUUGUUUAUGCUUCCGCUAAUGAGUUGCACUGGGACCGUUUUUUAAAAAAAAAAAAAUGCCUAUGAACUACGGUGCUUCCGUUAAGAGAUGUAACUGGUAUCCAUUAGGUGGAGCGAUAGGUACCUGUGGCGACCUUAGGUGUUUAGGGGUGCCACAUGCCGGUCUCCCAUGGAGGAAAAAAAUCCACCGUUGGUUCAAAGGCAAUUUGACCACCAAAAGAGGAAGUUGUUCCGAAGGGGAAAGACAAGAGGUCAGAGAGGCUGUCGAUCGGGGCCUAAAUCGGCAGCUAUUAGCUCACCAGAGAGAGAGAGAGAGAGAGAGAGAGAGAGAAAUGCAUAAAUGAGCCCCCCUUUCAAAAAAUUGAAGGGAAAAGUCUAUUUACACCACCUCAAAUCGGUUAAUCUCGACCGUCAGUUUGAUCCGACGGUCGAAAUCCAAAUCCAACAGGCAAAACUUGAUUUCGAAAGUUCAAUUAUGAUCUAGAGGUGUCAAGUAAUCGAUCUAAUGGGUCCGAUUCGCAAAACCAAAGCUGAAAUCAAGAAUUGUGUUAGAAUGUCUAUUUAGGGGUCAAAAUGCAAAUUUACUAAAUCUGAAGGCCAAUCUUCAAAAUCUUGGGCAACUAAAGAUGCAGAAGUAAAAUUGACACGAUGAGGACCUUGGAACUAGUUGCCAGAGGUCAAGAAUUGACCAAAAAGGGGUCGGACAAGCCUGCCUCGCCGGUAGCCAAUUGGACCGGUCAAAUUGGUUUGCAUCAGUUUGACCAGUUCUUGACCGGUCUGGUUUGGUUCUAAUUGAUUCACCUGUUUGUGGUCCCUAUGGGUUUAAAAUUCAUGCAAUCAAGGAUCAAAUUGAAGAGAAAACUUACACGAUUUGAAGGAAAAUUGCCCGAUUUCAAUUCAAUUAAGCCAAUUAAGCUUUAUAAAUGUGAUCUAUGGAUUAUCUAUUGACCUAAUUGAGCAAUUAUUGUGAAAACAAUGAGCCAAAACCAUGGAUACUUAAGAUUGACCCUAAAAGCCUAAAAUGCACAAAUUUGCAAUUCAAUGGCCAAAAUUGCAAAUUAAUGGAAAUUAGAUUCAAUUUGUGUUGUAAUUGCCCUAUCCAACUAAUUAGCCAUGUGUAAGAUCACCUGGAGUAUUCAAAUUGACUUUGAAUUGAGAUACCAAAACUAAAUUGGGUCUAAUAUUAAAAUUGGACUUAGAUUCAUACAAUUGGGCCUUAGUUUAGAAUGGGUCAGUUCGAAUAUCUUCAAUUGGAGCUCGAUGGUUCAGUUUUCUUACUUUUAAGAGAGUGAAAUCCCUUAAAUUGGAAAGUUCUAAUGCAAAUUUCUCAAAAAGGACUUUGGAUUUGGACUUAUGUUAAGAAAACCAGUGGAAAAUAAUUGUCCAUUUGUAGAUCAUAAAGAAUCAAUUUUUAUCCCCUAAUUACGGCGUAAAAUAAACAUUUAUCUUUUGACACGGUAAUUCGCGAAAUUGAACACACGAGCGGAUUUAGAAUAAUCUCUAAACCAAAUUUCAAAGAAGAAACUACACCUAAUUAUGGCCCAAAACAGAAGUAAAAUUAUUUUUGGUCGAUUUAGAACCGAAAAUCGAAAUAAUUAGAAAACAAGGUUCUUGAUCAAUUUUGUGAAAUUUUCGAUACUAAAGUAAAAUUGAGACCUAAAGAAAUGUUUUUGUGGAUUUUUUGAUAUUUUGAGUUUGAUUUUUUUUGUGAAAAAUUUGACCAAAAGUCAACCAUUUAGUUGAUUUUUCCUCAAAGUUGGUUUUUGAGCCAAAUCUUUGGAUUUUUAAAAAAUUGACUUGAGAAAAGUGAAAUUGGCAUCUCUUUUGGUGAAAAGCCAAUUUUUGACUCGGGGUUAAUUUUUUAUCAAAGGGUUGACUAAAAAAAAAAAGACAACUCGAAAGUCAACUGUUUAACUUUUCAAGUUUUCCUUGAAAAUGAGCUGAAAAUUGUUUAAAAAUAGUAAUGCAUCAAAAAGAAAUGAAAAACAACAUUUUUUAGCCAGAAAUGAGCUCUAUUGCGAUGAGAAUCCCGAAUCUUGAUUUUUACCUUUUCUUUUUUACAUGUCGACUAAAAAUCAGGUAUCAACAUGAACCUCUAGUAGAGUAAGCUCUUUUGCUAAGAAGGGGAAAGAAAAAAUGGCAGAAACCCCUAUGUCUAGAAAGAAGGGAAAAUCAUCUAAGGCUAGAGGUGUGGAUCUAGAUGAUGGUAGGAAAGGUGAUAAUGAUGAGAAAUUGUUCAUGAACUUCAAAAAAAAAAAAAAACUCAUUGGAUAAUGUUGCUGUUGGAAGUUAGGGUUGGAAAGUUCAUAAGAUCUACUUGACAUAUGAAUUAUUUGCAAAGUUUGAUAAGAAUAGUAGUCAUGAAUGACAAGGUUGUUGAGUUUGAAUUUUUUGAAUCAUUUGGAAUUCAGAUUAAGCACAUUUUUGACAAACUUUUGAUGACUGGUCCGUAUAUUAACAAUUUUCCAAACUAUCCCUCUUUAACAACAUAUUUUUACCCAAGUAUGUCAUUUUACGCACUUGACACUUUUGAGUUCACUAUUUUUGACAAAUAUGUUCUUAUCCAUGCCACUGAUUUGGCAAAAAUUCUUGGUGUCAAUCACUUAGACUUUUUUCCAAUCGAUGUUGAUCCUGAUGUGGCUUAUCAAUCGAUCUCACGUAUCUCUAAUUUUUCCAUAGAUACUUUAUCCCAUCUUUCACAUCACAAUUUUCUUCUGAACGAAAUUGUCUUGCAUAAAAUCAUCAUUAACUAUCUUCAAUCAAAAGAACAGAUGUAUCUCGGUAUGGAGCCAAGAUCAUCUGAGCUCUUUUAAAUAAUCAUCAUUGUUCACUCACACACAUGGUCAUCCUUCACAUGUAUCGAAUUGUUUUAAAGUCCAAACAACAGUUGUCCUAUGGAUCGUUGAUUACCAAAAUCUAUAUGCACUAUGAUAUCAAGAUCCUAGACAGUUUCAAGAAAAAACAACUCCCUUUAACGUCAGUAAAUGAAAAGAUGAUGGAAAAAAUGGGUUUUAGGUUUGUCCAAUGAAGAUGGCAAGAUAGCCAUGGAAAACCAAUUCGAACAGAUGUUGAAAAUCCAGUGGUAGACUUAGCUUCACCACUUGCAAAGAGGAGAAAAACUCAGAUUGAUAGGAGUGGAUCUCAAUCCUUCUUGCAAAAAUUGACUAAGGAAUCAUGUGAGGACUUCGAUGUAACAUAAGAUUAGGAAGAUGAUCUGGACAAGUUGAUUGAAAGAAUUGGCAAUACCCCUCUGGAUAAGGAUUUUGAUUUGGAGGAAGAUAAGAUUGCGGAUAAAACUAAACUGGACAAGCCAGAUGAUGUGGAAAAUCUGCAAAAAUGGCAAGUGACUAACCUCCAGCAAUUGUGCAAGAGAAAGAAAAGGAAGUGACCGAUGCCUUAGGAUUGAUUAAGAAUGUGUUGCAAGAAGUUGUAGCUAGUGUAAGUAAAGAAAAGCCUACUAAAAUGGACAAUGCCACUUUAUCAUAUCAUCCAGAAAUCGAAGAAGUUCCGGAUCAGCUAUAGGGUGAACAAGUGCCAAUAGAGGUACCCCAGGAUCCUGAUGAGAAUACGAGAGCAACCACUGAGUAAAAGUUUGCUGCCUCAAUUGUAGAUGAAGAUGUUGUGGUGGUUGACAAAGAAGCAGAUGUAGAGAAAGAAGUAGAAGCAAACAAGGAUGCUCCUAUUGAAAGGGAACAAGUGCAGACUACGGGGGUUGUGGAGACAGAGCAGGGUGGAAAGAAAAAGGACUAACCCCCCAGCAAUUGUGCAAGUGACUGACCCUCCAACAGUUACACAAGAGAAAGAGAGGGAAGUGGCUAAUACCUUAGCAUCGAUUAAGGAUGUGUUGGAAGAAGUUGUGACUAGUGUCAGUAAAGAAAAGCAAACUGAAAUGGACAAUGCUACUUUAUCAAAUCAUCCAAAAAUCAAAGAAACUCUGGAUUAGUUGUAGGGUGAACAAGUGUUGGCAAAGGUACCCCAAGAUCCUGAUGAGAAUAUGGGAGCGACCACAGAGUAAAGGUUUGCUGCCUCAGUUGCGAAUGAAGAAGUCGUGGUGGCUGACAAAGAAGCAGAUGCAGAGAAAGAAGCAGAAGUAGACAAGGAUGCUCCAAUUAGGGGGAGAAAGUGCAAAUUAUUAGAGAAAACUCCAUUAGUGUUUUGAAGUUGACAAAAUAUUUCCAAAAGUCUAGUCUGAAGACUUGCAGACUCAAAAGUUAUUAUCUGAAGAACUCCAGACUUUUUUGUCAAAAUCUAAAGACCGCAAGACUUUAGUCUAAAAUGUUUGCCCUCACUGAUAGUUUCCAGACCGAAGAAUGAAGACUUAUCUAGAUUCGGGAUUAUCUUCAAGAUUUUGAUUCGUAUGGUUUAUGGAUGACCUUAUGGCUAGAUAUAGCACCUAUUUGAUUGAUUAUCUUUAUCGGAUCAAUUCCGAUUUAAAGAUCUUUUGAAAGGCGAACAAAUUUGGAAGGUUCUACUUAUGGAAACCAAAAAUCUUGAUUGUAUGGGCGAACAUGAUUGACGGGCUUUCAUCACAAUCAUUUAAUGACUCGAAGAUCCCCUUGAUUAAUUCUGUCUAACGGGUAGAUUAGAAGAUUCCUUUGGUAAGUGCCAAUUGUUAUGAAUGCAUGAACGAGUAUUUAAGGCGAACUCUCAAGUUGUUCGAAUGUGUGCGUGAAAGAAGAAUUCUAAAAUCUGAAGCUCUCUAGUUACUUACUAUUUCAUUCAUUGAGCUCAAAGUUGUAUACAAAAGAGAGAGAUACUUAGUGAGACUUUGUGUGAGACCAGUAGAGACUCAUCAUUGAGAAAGUCAAAGAUCACAAGUUGUAAAAUCUAUUUUGAUUCAUAAUGGAAUCCAGCCAGUCGGCUGUCAGCGUGGGAGAGUGGACGUAGGCUUGAUCUAAGUUGAACCACUAUAAACCUUGUGUUCUAAUUCUUUUUCCUGAACUCUUUACUUUCAUUCAUAUAUUUGCAUAUUCAUUUUAAACUAAGUACGUUCUUAGUCUAUCAUUUUGUAAAAGCAAAUUACUUCUACUAAGUCUUGUGAAAUUUUUUAUCUACACCUAUUCACUCCCUCUAGGUGGUUGCACUAGUCCUUUCAAUUGGUAUUAGAGCUUGUGUGAUUAUUUAUUGAAGUGUUUUUACUUCUUAAGCUAAAGAUCUAUGGCUAGUAUUUUGGCUCAAGGAUUGGUUGAAGGCCAAAGUAACACCAGACCUCCUUACUUUGAUUGGAAGGAGUACAAUGUAUGGAAAAAAAGAAAAGAUGAAGGCAUUCCUGAGAUCGAAAGAUCCCUUGGAAUGGAAUGUGGUAGAAAAAUGGAUCAUUUCCAAAGCUACAUCAACCUCAGAAAGAGGAAAGGAAGUUGUAGAUGCUGGCAAAAUGACACAAGCAGAAAUAACCAAGAGACAAGCUCUUGAUGCUAAAGCUAUUUACUCUUUAUACUGUGCUUUAUCUCCUACUGAGUAUAACAAAAUUUCAUCUUGUGAAAUAGCAAAAGAAGUCUGGGACAGGUUGCACGUUACCUAUGAAGGAAUUGAUCGAGUUAAAAAAACAAAAGUCAAUAUACUACUCGAACAAUAUGAAGCCUUCAAGAUGAAGCCAGAAGAAUCCAUCACUGACAUGUUCAGUCGUUUCACGGAGAUUGUAAACGGUCUAGCAUAUCAAGGACAGCCAAUCUCAAGACCAAUGAAGGUUAAAAAAUUGCUGUGUAGACUCUCCAAAGACUAGAAUCACAUUAAGACUUCAAUCAGAGAAACCCACAGGAUCAUGCCUCUUACAGUAGAUGAACUUGUUGGCAUACUUCAAUCAUAUGAAGUGGAGCAAAUCAAUGAGGAAGAAGAUCCCAAAGGUAAGAAGUCGAUUGCUUUAAAAUCUAACAAUGAUUCUGAUAUUUCAGAUUCAGAAGAUUACUUGGACGAUGAAGAGCUAGCACUCAUGAUAAGGAAGUUUAGGAAGUUGAACAGGAAAGGAAGAAAGUUUAACUGGAAGAAGCAAAGCUCUCAAAGAUUUUAGAAGAAAUCAAUUGAAGACAAUGAGACCAACAAAGAUGUGAUUUGCUUCGAAUGCAAGAAAAAGGAGUACAUCAGACCCAACUGCCCCCUGUUGAAUAAAAAGAAAGGAAAAAUAGAGAAAUUCAAAAAUGCUCUCAAAGCAGAGACAUGGAGUGAUACAGAAUGCGAAUAAAGUGAUGAAAAAUAUGCCAACAUAUGCUUAGUGGCAAAUUCAGAAUCAGACUCGAACUCUAAAAUAGAUUCAGACUCAGACAAGGAAGUCAAGGUUAGUGAUUUAAAAAUUCCUAUUAAAGUCUCAAAAUAUAUAGAUGAACUCUGUCUUAGUCUCAAAACAUCACUUAAAAUGAUUUCCGAGUUGAAAAGGGAGAAUUCUAGACUGAAGCAACAUGAGACUUCUUGGAAAGAAAAAUUUGAAAAUCUAGAUAAAAGUUUUGUUGAUUUGAAAGAAAACUCAUACUCUCUUUCGAAGGAAAAUGCCUUUUUGAAAGAAGAUAUUUCAAAUAUCAUGAAAAGAUUUUCAAAAGGUUAUGAGAAGUUGGAAAUGAUUCUUUCAGUACAAAGACUUUAUUUUAACAAAUCUGGUUUAGGUAUGACACAUGAAAUUGUUCAUUUAAUUGAUUUUCCCAAAUUAAAUAAAAGAAUCAAACAAAGACCUACAAAAACAUUUUAUAGAAAUCAUUUUCAAAAAGUUUUUGCAAAAUUUGUUGGUCGAAGUGCUCUUAAAUGUUCAAAGUGUAACAGCUUAGAACAUUUCGAGAAAGAGUAUCCCAAAGUUUGGAGACCUGUUAAGAGGGAUUGGGCAAAGACUGUUUUUGUAACUAACUCCCCUAGACCCAAGAAAAUAUGAGUACCAAAGAAAACAUGAGUUCUUUUUAUGAUUGUAGGUCACUAUCAAGAAAAAGAUCAAAUAGUAUUUGAAUAGUGACUGUUCGAGACACAUGACAGGAAAUUUAAAUUGUUUUAUAAAGAUUGUUCAUAUGAAUGGUGGAAAAGUUUCUUUUGGUAGAAAUAUCAAAUGAAAAAUUGUUGGAUGUGGAACUGUAAAGAUUGGAAGUCUCACAAUCAACAAUGUCUCCUUGGUGGAAGGUUUGAAUUACAAUUUAUUCAGCAUAAGUCAAUUGUGUGACACUGGUUUCAAAAUUAAUUUUCAAGAAGGCGUUUGCUUAGGAAUUAGUAAAGAUUUAUCUCAAUCUUUUAUUGGACGAAGACAUGAAAAUAUUUACCAUCUGGAUAUAAAACCAGAAAGCUCUCAAUGUCUAAUUUCCAUUCAAGAUGAAGUAAAUCUUUGGCAUUGAAAGCUUGGCCAUGUUAACAUGAAGUAGAUUGCCAAGAUCUCCUCCAAGAAGCUUGUUUGUGAACUGCCCAACUUGACUUAUCAAAAGUCUAAAUUAUGCACACCAUGUGUUUUGGGAAAACAUGUUAGAAGUUAUUUUAAACCUAUAAAUCAAGUUUCUACUAAUCGAGUUUUGCAGCUUUUGCAUAUGGACCUCUUCGGACCAACCAGAACUCAAAGCAUUGGUGGAAAAAGAUACUGCCUAGUAAUCGUAUAUGAUUAUUAUUGCUUUACUUGGGUAUUCUUCCUAGUAAGUAAGUUUGAAACAUUCUCUUACUUUUCAAAAUUUGCCAAGAAGGUUCAAAAUGAAAAAUGAUAUGCUAUUUCAAGCAUACGAACAAACCAUGGAGGUGAGUUUGAAAAUCAAGACUUUGCAAAUUUUUCUGAUGAAUUUAGUUUCUAGCAUGUUUUCUCUUUUCCAUAUACUCCAGAACAAAAUGGGGUUAUGAAAAGAAAAAAUAGAUCUUUGUAGGAGAUGGCAAGAACCCUCUUAAUUAAGAGUAAUAUUUCCUCUCGCUUUUGGGCUGAAGCAGUUUCUACAGCUUGCUACAUCAUUUACAAAGUGUUCUUGAGACCUAUUAUAGAGAAAACUCCUUAUGAAGUAUUUAAAGAGAAAGAAGCCAAAUAUUUCUUAUUUUCAUGUGUUUGGUUGUAAGUAUUUUGUUUUGAAAAAUGCAAAUGAUCGAAUUGGUAAGUUUGAAGAAAAAUCAGACGAAUGAAUUUUUCUUGACUACUCAACCUCAAGCAAGGCCUACAGAGUAUUCAACAAAAAGAAUCAGUCUGUGGAAGAAUCUAUGAACGUCAAGUUUCAAGACUCCAUGCAAAAUCAAGUGGACCGGACUCAAUUUGAAGAAUCUGAACCUGCUCUAGAUGUUACAAAAUCUACUUCCCCCGAAGCGGUUCAAACUUCUAAAGUUCAACAACAAAAAGAACCAAAAGAUUCAACUGAAGCAGAAGAUCAGCAAACUCUCAGACCAACCAGCAACUGGAAGCAUAAGUCAAGUCAUCCCGAAGAACUCAUCAUUGGUAACAUUGAUGAAGGAAUUUGAACCGGAUCCAAAAUGCGAGAAGAGUCUAGUGCCUUGGCACUUAUUGUUGAGAUUGAACCUAAAAGUAUAGAAGAAGCCUUAGCUGAUGAAAGUUGGAUUGAAGCUAUGCAAGAAGAGCUCAGAUAGUUCAACAUCAAUAAUGUUUGGAAACUAAUUCCUAAAUCUAAAGAUAAGUCCAUUUUUGGAACUAAAUGGGUUUUCAGAAACAAAGUAGACGAGUAAGGAAAAGUGAUCAGAAACAAAGCAAGACUUGUGGCCAAAGGAUAUAUGCAAGAAAAAAGGAUAGACUAUGAUGAGACCUAUGCACUAGUAGCGAGAUUAGGUUCUUUUGCUUGCUAUAAAAAUUUCAGGUUAUUCCAAAUGGAUGUAAAAAGUGCAUUCCUAAAUAGAUUCAUCUAAGAAGAAGUCUAUGUGGAACAACCACCUGAUUUUGAAUAUCCAAGAAAGCCAGAUUCAAUCUACAGACGAAAAAGACUUUAUAUGGACUGAAGCAAGCACCUCGAGCCUAGUAUAAAAGGUUAAGUAAUUUUCUAAUCCAAAAUGGUUUUGUUAAAGGUAAAGUAGAUACUACCUUGUUCAUUAAAAGAGAAGGUAAAGAUUUUCUACUUGUUCAAAUUUAUGUUGAUGAUAUUAUCUUUGGAUCACCUAAUGAAAAUCUAUGUAAGAAUUUUUCUAAAUGCAUGCAGGAUGAAUUCGAGAUGAGUAUGAUGGGUGAAUUAACUUUCUUUUUGGGAUUACAAGUUAAACAAUCAAAGGAAGGUAUCUUCAUUCAUCAAGAGAAGUAUGCGAAAGAUCUCAUCAAAAAGUUCUUCAAAGCUGAAUAAACAUGAAUGAGGAAAGGAUGUAGACUAGAAGCUAUACAGGAGCAUUAUUGGUUCACUUCUUUACCUUACUGCAUAUAGACUUGAUAUUUUGUUUAGUGUUUGUAUUUGUGCAAGAUUCCAAUCAAGUCCCAAAGAAUCUCACUUAAGUGCUGCAAAGCACAUCAUCAAAUACAUUGCAAUGACUCCAAAGUUAGGUUUGUGGUAUUCCAAAGAAUGAGACUUUACUUUCUUUGGAUAUUUAGACGCAGAUUUAGCAGGUUGUAGGGUUGAUAAAAAAAGUACUUCUGGUACAUGUCAAUUACUGGGCAACAAGCAUGGUUUUCAAGAAAACAGAGUACCGUAGCUCUUUCAACAGUUGAAGCAGAAUACGUGGCUCUUGGGAGCUGUUGUUCUCAAAUUUUGUGGAUAAGGCAACAACUUAGAGAUUUUGGAAUUGAAGAAUCGUGCAUUGAGAUCAAAUGUGAUAACACUAGUGCCAUCAAUCUCACAAAGAAUCCAAUUCUUCAUUCAAGGGCAAAGCAAAUAGAGAUCCGACACCACUUCAUUAGAAAUCAUGUUCAGAACGGAGAAGUUAUGAUUCGAUUCAUUGACUCAAAGAAUCAGUUGGCGAAUAUAUUCAUAAAGCCAUUGGAGAAACAUUUAUUUGAGUUUAUUCGCGCUAGACUGAACAUCAUAUCUCUUACCGGGUAAAGUCUGAAAAUGUUCAGACUUAUAAUAUCCAGAAGUUACGACUGUAUGUUAAUACUCUCUAAAUGAUUAUGAGUUUAUUUUUGGAUAAAGCUCCGAAAAGGUACAUUGAUUUUUGAAUCGCUACUUGCCUAUUUCAUUUUUAGGAAUUAUUUUUGAAUUUAUGGUGGUUUUUCAUUUUCAAAAUAGGUAGUUUUCAUUUUUGAAAAAUGCAGUUUUUACUAUUUCCUUUGUAACCUUUCGUAUACCCCAUUUCACUUGCUUUAUAUACAGUCAAAAUUCUUCUUCUCCAUUUACACUCAUUCAAACCCUAGAAUACAGAGAUCCUAUUUUCUCUCAUUUCUCUUGUGUUUGAUCCGAAAUCUUCGAGAAUUGCGAACAGGGGACCACAGCACAUGCCUAAGGGUCCUACCCACUUCGAUUUAACUGAAGAAGAGGAUACUACUUAGUAACAACCACAACAACAUUCUCAACAGCGUCACUCCUCACAACAAGCGACAUAAGAUCCUUCACAAGCAGAAGAAGAGAUCAUUGAAGAUGUUGAACUUGUAAGAACACAAAAACCCCAAUUUUUGUUUAGACUCUGCUCAAACUUAAAGAUGGGUGGUUUUGCAAUGACUUUGAUCGAUGAGUUUCUGAAAACAAAUGGUUAUAAGAACGAAACUUUCUUCUUGAAUACCAUGGAAAGGUGAGGCAUUGCGCCUGAAGGUUUUGCAAUAAUGACUUUUACCAACUUUCCAAGUGAACCGCGCGUUGGUGGCUUUAAUCAACCUGAAGGAAAGGACAAUGAUGAAAUGAUGUAUACCCAUUUUCAGCCUAGAAUGGGUGUUGUUGCAUCUAUUUGUGGAGAGGGAAUGAGUUUAUUCCAUUCCAAGGACCACAAGAGGACUUAUUCGAAUCUACUGAAGAGAGGAGUUAUGAACCCUAGAAGUGUGGACUUUGAUUUUCUCGAUUCUAUGAAAGUGAGACUAAGGGAGAAGUUUGCACUUCUUCAACUUGAAUGCUUUUGCUCAGAAACUACUGAAGCCUACCCUGAAUUGACUGCUUACUUCUAUUCAAAUCUGUCUUUUCUAGAUGUGGAUAGAUUUUGUUUUACGGUUAGGGACAAAAAAUUUGUGGUUGAUGUGGAUACGUUGGCUAAUGUGAUUGGUGUGGAAAGAGGGAGUUUCUAACCAAUCAAUGUGUAUGUUGGUCAUGCGACUUUGGCUCUUAUUCGGGAUAGAUUUGUUGAGGGCAAGAUUUCUUACACUAGAAUGAAUGCCUCCAAUAUUUUACUUCACAAGAUCGUGAUCAACUGCAUCAGACCCCAAAUUCACUUCAAAAACUAAUGUCUCUCACUCUAAAGCGAAGUUGAUGUAUGCAAUCAACAUUGGCUAUAAGUUCUCAUUGCCUCACAUUAUCCUAAUGCACAUGUAUAGAACAAUUGUGAAGGACAAGGGGCAACUAUCUUACUCUGCGCUUGUCACUCGACUCUUCAGACAUUUCCAAAUUUAGAUUCCUGCUUCUCUAUGUGUUAGAACCAUUGCUCCAAUGGUGAUUGGGCUGCAAAUGGUUUCAAAGAUGCAUCUGAAGGAGCUGAAUAAGGAAUUGGAGCGCCUGAAGGAGAAGACCCCUGUCAAGGCAAAACAAGACUCUACAGCAACGAAAAGAAAAGGCAAGGAGCUCAUGACCGCACCAACCAAGAAGAGGAGAGCCCUUAUCUUGCAGGAUGAAGAAGAUGAGUACGAUAUCACUCUCUCCACCUUACAUAAUUUACGAAGUUUUGUUAGCUUCAAAGAGCUAGAGGAUAGAGAGAACAGAGAAAGAACAAAAACAGAGAAGAGAAGUGAAAAAAGAACAGAGGAAGGAGAAAGAGGAAGAGAGGAAGAGGAAGAAGAGGGUCAAGAUGACAUUUUUGAGCCAACAUAUGUUGUAUCCUUGUCCGAGGAUUUAAAAAAGACUCGGAGUGGAACUAUAAGAGACGAACAACAUCACUCAGGUUCUGAAGUAGAGCAAGGACAAGAAGAAGAAUUCUUUUCUCCACCUGAAGGCACAGAAACAGGGGGAGCUGCUAGAAAAAGAGGUACUUCUUCACUUAUCUUUACUAGUGAUGUAAGUAGAUCUCUAGCAGAUCCAGAGAAUGUCUAUGCCUCUCAAUAUCCUGAAGCAGAUGUAGAGGAAUCCACUCCUAGUCCUAGUGAUCGAACUACUGAUAUUCCCUCACAUCUCAAUACUCCUAGAAUUGAUUCGGCUAAACCUAGUGCUACAACAGAACCAACAGCAGACUUUCAAAGGUUGUUGGAAAUCCUUUUGGGUGUAAAGGCUCAACAAUAUGGAGUGGAGUGUGAGAUCAAGCAUCUUAAAACAGCUUUCUAGUCAACUUCAGACUCUCUACAUGAACAAAUACAAGCCCUAAAACUUCAAGUGCAAGAAACUGCAAAGGGUGAAGAUAUUGAGCAGCUGAAGGAGACUCUGAGGAAGCUAGAGGAGACUAUCAAGUCUAUGGGGGAUUUCCAAAUCGUUCGUAUCCUCAAACAGCCAUGAUUUUUAACCCAACUCUUUUUAUAGUCAUUCUUCACUUUUUGCUGUGACAAAAAGGGGGAAAGUUUGUGCAGAUUUGACUGAUCUAUCUUUUUGGCUUGGAACCUUUUGAAAUAAUUUUAUGCUUGGUAUCUUGGACUUGGUAUUUUUUGGUUAUACUUUUUGGUUUGGUUUUAGACUGACCUUGGACUAUUUGGAUUUGAACUUUUUGAUGCUUGCACUAACUUAGAUUGUGAUACUGAUUACGGCUGGAUAGUCAUUUUAUCUUGCAGGACUAAUAUGUUUUUUGUGGUUGCAGAAUUGAUGUUAUCUAGGUCUUAAUAAUUUUUUUUUAGAUAUCACGUAUUGCUUAAGUGUUGUUUUACAGGUCAAAAUUAUUCAAAAUCUGCAGGAAAGUUUUGUUACCAUCAAAAGGGGGGAGAUUGUUAGAGAAAACUCCAUUAGUGUUUUGAAGUUGACAAAACAUUUCCAAAAGUCCAGUCUGAAGACUUGCAGACUCAAAAGUUAUUAUCUGAAGAACUCUAGACUCUUUUGUCAAAAUUUGAAGACCGCGAGACUUUAGUCUAAAAAGUUUGCCCUCACUAACAGUUUCCAGACCGAAUAAUGAAGACUUAUCCAGAUGCGGGAUUAUCUUCAAGAUUUCGAUUCGUAUGGUUUAUGGAUGACCUUAUGGCUAGAUAUAGCACCUAUUUGAUUGAUUAUCUUUAUCGGAUCAAUUCCGAUUUAAAGAUCUUUUGAAAGGCGAGCAAACUUGGAAGUUCUACUUAUGGAAACCAAAAAUCUUAAUUGUAUGGGCGACCAGGAUUGACCGACUUUCAUCACAAUCAUUUAACGACUCGAAGAUCCCUUUGAUUGAUUCUGUCCAAUGAGUAAAUUAAAAGAAUUCCUGUGGUAAGUGCCAACGAUUAUGAAGGUAUGAAGGAGUAUUUAAGGCAGACUCUCAAAUUGUUCAAAUGUGUGCGUGAAAGAAGAAUUCCAAAGUCUGAAGCUCUCCAGUUACUUACUAUUUCAUUCAUUGAGCGCAAAGUUGUAUACAAAAGAGAGAGAUACUUAGUGAGACUUUGUGUGAGACCAGUAGAAACUCAUCACUAAGAAAGUCAAAGAUCACAAGUUGUAAAAUCUCUUUUGAUUCAUAGUGGAAUCUAGCCAAUGGGCUGUCAGCGCGGGAGAGUGGACGUAGACUUGAUCUAAGUUGAACCACUAUAAACCUUGUGUUCUAAUUUUCUUUCCUAAACUCUUUACUUUCAUUCAUAUAUUUGCAUAUUCAUUUAAAACUAUACAUUCUUAGUCUAUCAUUUUCUAAAAGCAAAUUACUUCUGCUAAGUCUUGCGAAAUUUUUUAUUUACACCUAUUCACCCCCCCCUCUAGGUGGUUGCACUAGCCCUUUCAUAGACUACAAGAGUUGCGGAGAUAGAGCAAGGUGGAAAGGAAAAAGACAAUGAUCCAUCCAUUGAGAUCAUUCCUCAACUGGAGGUUAUAGCUGAUUCCAAUGAUAACAUUCUUCGAGUGUUGAUGGAACUAAAGGAUGAGGUCAAGGAACUCAAAUAUCAUAUCAAGAGGCUCACACGGGACGGCAACCGAAGGGUAGAGAAGCUUGAGAACACAAUCGCUCACAUGAGUCACUAUGUCCUUGUCUUUGUGCCUCUAGAUGAUCUCCCUUCUUCAAGUCCUCCAACUCAAGACCCAAACCAGCCCUCCACCUCUAAAUAAUCUUUUAGUUUCUUUUCAAAAUUUCUAAGACAAUUUCAUUUGUGUUGGCUUGUUUUUUGCUUGAACUAUCAGUUUGCUUUAGUUUGUGAUUUGGGUUUGCUAUGUCAAUUUGCUACUAAGUGUUAGACUUAUGAUUGCUAUUAUAUAUAUAUUAUAUGGCUUGCUAUUACCUUUUGUACUAUUGACAAAAAGGGGAAGAAAUAUGAGUGUUGGAGAAACCCUCUUGAAGUGUUUUGAAGUUGACAAAACGUUUCUAUCGGUCUAGUCUGAAGGCUUGCAGACUCUGCUAUUUAAAGUCUGAAGACCUCCGGACAACCAGACUCAAGACUCAAAGUCUAUCCUCAUUGACAGUUUCUAAUCCGUUGAAGAAAGGCUAUCCAGAACUGGAUGUUUCAUUAAUGAUGUGGCCUUAUCGACUGGAGAAGAUCUCUUGGCUAGAUAUGACAUAAUGGAAUCCUUUAUUUGAUCAUAAUUGAUUUAAAGAUUAAAGAUCCGAUGAUUGGCAAAGUAUACUUGGAAGGUUCUACUUAUGGAAACUGAGAUCCUGAUUGUAUGGGCGAACAUGAUUGAUGGGCUAUCGACAUGUUCCUUUAAUAGCUCGAGUGAUCUUUCUAAUUGAUUCCGUCCAAUGGGUAGAUUGGAGGAAUUCCUUUGAUAAGUGCCAACGGGUAUGAUGGCAUGAAGGAAUAUAUAAGGAAGACGUUCCAGUUGUUCUAGGGAGUGCACGAUAGAAGAAUUCCAAAGUCUGAAGCUCCUUGUUCUUAGUCAAUUCAUUUGUUGAGCAAAAUCGUGUAAACAAAAUAGAGUCUAUAUUCGUGAGAAACCUUGAGGAAGUGUGAUAGAACAUCUACACUGUGGAAUCAAGGAAAAGCUGUGCUGUAACUUCUCUUUUGUUCAGAGUGAAAUCCAGCCGGUGGGCUGUCAGUGCGGAAGAGUGGACGUAGGCUUGGAAUAAGCCGAACCACUAUAAAUCUUGUGUUCAGUUCUCUCUUCUCUAUCCUUUACUUUACUUUGAUCGUAUUUUCUUUUCUAUCGAUUGCCUAGAGUUGCUUCCGUAUCUCGAGAAUUUGUUUGUGCACCUAUUCACCCCUCUAGGUGCUUAUACUAGCUAUCUCAAUUGAUAUAAGAGCCUGUGUACUCACUUUUGUUGAAGUGUUUUACUUCAGAGUUAAAGAUCCAUGGCUAGUAUGUUGGCUCCAGGACUGGUAGAAGGGCAAAGCAAUACCAGACUACCUUACUUUGAUGGAAAUGAUUACUACAUAUGGAAGAACAAGAUGAAAGCAUUCGUAAGAUCAAAGGAUCCUCUGGAAUGGGACGUUGUAGAAAAAGGAAUCAUUCCUAAAGCUGCAUCUGUCUCAGAAAGAGGAAAAGAUGUUGUUGAGUCUAGCGAAAUGACUCAGGAAGAGAAAAUCAAGAGACAAGCCCUUGAUGCAAAAGCAAUUUAUUCUUUAUAUUGUGCUUUAUCCCCUACUGAAUAUAACAGAAUAUCUUCUUGUGUUACAGCUAAAGAAGUCUGGGAUAGAUUACAUAGUACCUAUGAAGGAACCGAUCGAGUGAAAGAGACCAGAAUCAACAUUCUCCUCGGUCAAUAUGAAGCCUUCAAAAUGAAACCAAGAGAAUCUAUAACGGAUAUGUUCAGUCGCUUUACUGAAAUUGUGAAUGGUCUUGAAAAUCAAGGUCAACCAAUUUCUGAUCCCAUGAAAGUAAACAAGAUACUGCGUGGACUUUCCAAGGAUUGGAAUCACAUAAAGACCUCAAUCAGAGAGACCCAAAGAAUCAUGUCACUAUCUGUUGAUGAGUUGGUUGGGACUCUUCAGUCUUAUGAAGUAGAACGAAUCAAUGAAGAUGAAGACCCUAAAGGUAAGAAAUCCAUUGCGUUAAAAUCUAAUGAUGAUUCUAAUGUUACAGAUUCUGAAGACGAUAUGGAUGAUGAGGAACUUGCUCUCAUGAUAAGAAGAUUCAGAAAGCUGAACAGAAAAGGAAGAAGGUUCAAUCCAAAGAAACAAAGCUUUCAAAAGCAACAGACUAAGUCUGUUGAGGAUGAUGAAUCAAACAAAGAUGUAGUCUGCUUUGAAUGUAAGAAAAAUGGACACAUCAGACCCAACUGUCCUCUUCUGAGGAAGAAGAAAGGAAAAACUGAAAAGUACCGAAAAGCUCUUAAAGCUGAAACCUGGAGUGAUACAGAGUGUGAAGAAAGUGAUGAUGAUUAUGCCAAUAUAUGUCUGAUGGCACAAUCGGAUUCAGAUUCAAAUUCCGAGACAGAUUCAGACUCAGAAAGCGAAUUUGAGGUAAGUAACUUCAAAAUCCCUAUUAAGGUUUCAAAGUAUUUUGAUGAAUUGUGUUUCAGUCUUAAGACUUCUCUUAAAAGAAUUUCCGAACUCAAGAAAGAAAGUUCUGCUCUAAAACAACAGGAAAAUAUUUUGAAAGAAAAAGUGAAAAGUUUAGACAAGAAUGUUUCUUCUCUUAAAGAAAGUGAAGAUAAUUUGUUAAAAGAAAAUGCAUUCUUGAAAAGAGAUAUCUCAAAUAUUUCCAAAAGAUUUUCUAUAGGAUCUGAGAAACUAGAAAAAAUUCUUUCUGUUCAAAGACCUUAUUUUAAUAAAUCUGGUUUGGGAAUUACUGAUGAAACCAUCCCUUUAAUUGAUUUUCCUAAGGUGAAGGAAAGAAUCAAAUAAAGACCCACAAGAGAUGCUUACAAAAAUCAUUUUAAAAGAAUCUUUGUAAAACCAGUAGGUCGCAAUGCUCUCAGAUGCUCAAAGUGUAAUAGUGCAGAUCAUUUUGAAAAAGAAUGUCCUAUGAUUUGGAAACCUGUUAAAAAGGUAUGGGCAAAAACCGCAUAUCAGACUAACACCAAUGGACCCAAGAAAAUAUGGGUACCAAAGAAGGCUUGAGUUUCUUUUUUAAAUGCAGGUCACUAUCAAGAAAAAGGUAAAAUGGUAUCUGGAUAGUGGAUGCUUAAGACACAUGACAGGAGACUCAAAUUACUUCAUAAAGCUUGUCGAGUAAAUGGUGGAAAAGUUUCUUUUGGAGGAAACAACAAAGGAAAAAUUGUGGGAUUUUGAACUGUAAAGAUUGGAAAUCUCAAAAUCAGCAAUGUUUCCUUAGUGGAAUGGCUCAAUUACAAUUUGCUUAGUAUUAGUCAGCUAUGUGAUACUGGUUUCAAAAUCAACUUUCAAGAGGGAAUAUGUUAUGGAAUUAGUAAAGAUUCUACUCAGUCAUUCAUGGGUCGAAGACAUGGAAAUAUCUACCUCUUGGAUGUAAAACCAGAUGAAUCACAAUGUCUAAUCUCAAUCCAAGACGAAGCAAACUUAUGGCACAGAAAGCUUGGGCACGUCAAUAUGAAGCAAAUAGCUAAAAUCUCAGCAAAGAAGCUUGUUCAUGGUCUACCCAAUUUAUCAUACCAAAAGUCUGAUCUAUGUGCACCAUGUAUAUUGGGAAAACAAGUAAGAAAUUCCUUUAAACCAAUAAAUCAAGUUUCCACUAACCGUGUAUUGCAGCUUCUGCAUAUGGAUCUAUUUGGACCAACCAGAACACAAAGCAUUGGAGGUAAGAAAUACUGCCUAGUAAUUGUGGAUGAUUACUCACGAUUUACUUGGGUAUAUUUCUUAGCAAGUAAGUCUGAAACUUUCUCUUACUUUGAAAAGUUUGCUAAAAAUGUUCAAAAUGAAAAAGGGUAUGUUAUCUCAAGUAUAAGAACAUAUCAUGGAGGUGAAUUUGAAAAUCAUGAUUUUACAAAAUUCUGUGAUGAAUCUGGUUUCCAGCAUGUAUUCUUCUUUCCAUAUACUCCAGAGCAAAAUAGAGUUGUGGAAAGAAAGAAUAGAUCUCUUCAAGAAAUGGCUAGAACUCUUUUAAUUGAAAGUAACAUCUCUUCACGUUUUUGGGCUGAAGCAGUUUCUACAGCAUGUUACAUUAUAAAUAGAGUUUUUCUAAGGCCUAUUCUGGAAAAAAAAACCCCUAUGAACUAUUCAAAGAAAAUAAGUCUAUUGUUUCAUAUUUUCAUGUAUUUGGAUGCAAAUGUUUUAUACUGAAAAAUGCAAAUGAUCGAGUUGGUAAGUUUGAAGAAAAGUCAGAUGAAGGCAUCUUCCUUGGAUAUUCAACCACAAGCAAAGCGUACAGAGUUUACAACAAGAAGACUCAAGAAGUGGAAGAGUCAAUGAAUGUUAAAUUCUAAGACUCUAUGCAAAAUGAAUCCAUUCAGACUCAUCUUGAAGAAUCUGAACCUGCUCCAGACUCUACAAAGUCUAAAAUAGCUCAGACUUUGAAGGACCAGCAACAAGUGACUGUUGAAGAUUCAAGUGAAGGAAGUGACCAUCAAUCUGACAAAUUAACCAGCAACUGGAAACAUAAGUCCAGUCAUCCCAAAGAUAUUAUUGGCAACAUCAAUGAAGGAAUUCGCACAAGAUCCAAAAGGUGCGAAGAGUCUAGUGUUGUGGCUCUUAUUUCUGAAAUAGUACCCAAAAGCAUAGAAGAAGCUUUAUCUGAUGAAAGCUAGAUUGAAGCUAUGCAAGAAGAGCUCAGGCAAUUCAGUAUUAAUGAUGUCUAGGAAUUAACUCCUAAACCAAAAGGUAAGUCUGUUAUUGGAGCUAAAUGGGUUUUCAGGAACAAGAUGAACGAGAAAGGAAAAGUUAUAAGAAACAAGGCAAGACUCGUGGCCAAGGGAUACACACAAGAAGAAGGGAUAGACUAUGACGAGACUUACGCACCAAUAGCAAGGUUAGAAGCAAUUCGAUUACUACUUGCUUUUGCUUGUUAUAAGAAUUUCAGGUUAUUCCAAAUGGAUGUCAAAAGUGCCUUCCUAAAUGGAUUCAUCCAAGAGGAAGUCUAUGUGGAACAACCACCUGGGUUUGAAGACCCAAGGAAACCAGACUCAGUAUUCAAACUCAAAAAGGCUUUAUACAGCUUGAAACAAGCUCCUCGAGCUUGGUACGACAGACUGAGUAAGUUUUUAAUUGAAAAUGGAUUUGUUAAAGAUAAAGUAGACACUACUCUUUUCAUUAAAAGAGAAAGCAAGAGUUUUCUACUUGUUCAGAUAUAUGUCGAUGACAUUAUUUUUGGAUCAUCUAAUGAAAGUCUGUGCAAGAAAUUCUCUAAGACUAUGCAGGAUGAAUUUGAAAUGAGCAUGAUGGGUGAGUUAACCUUCUUCCUUGGACUUCAAGUGAAACAACUGAAGGAAUGAACUUUUAUUCAUCAAGAAAAAUAUGCUAAUGAUAUUGUGAAGAAGUUUGGACUGGAAAAUUGCAAAAAGGCCGAUAUACCAAUGUCAAGCUCUGUAAAGAUAGAUAAAGAUGAAGGAGGAAAGAAAGUCGACCAAAAGUUAUACAGGAGUAUAAUCGGUUCACUUCUUUAUCUUACUGCUUCUAGACCUGACAUUUUGUUUAGUGUUUGCAUUUGCGCCAGAUUUCAAGCAGACCCUAAAGAAUCACAUUUAAAUGCUGCAAAGCGUGUUAUCAAAUAUAUUGCAUCAACUUCAAGCUUCGGUCUCUGGUAUCCUAAAAGGGGAGACUUUACUCUUCUUGGGUACUCAAACGCAGACUUAGCCGAAUGCAGAGUUGAUAGAAAGAGCACCUCAGGUACCUGUCAACUACUUGGAAGCAGGACAAUGUCUUGGUUUUCAAGAAAGCAAAGUACAGUAGCUCUCUCUACAACAUGAGCAGAAUAUGUAGCUCUCGGAAGUUGUUGUUCACAAAUUCUGUGGAUAAAACAACUGCUAAGAGACUUUGGAAUUGAAGAUUCAUGCACGGAGAUUAAAUGUGACAACACUAGCGCAAUCAAUCUCACCAAAAAUCCAAUUCUUCACUCAAGAGCAAAGCAUAUAGAGAUACGACAUCACUUCAUUAGAGAUCAUAUUCAAAAUGGAGAAAUUAUGAUUCAGUUUGUUGACUCAAAGAACCAAUUGGCGGAUAUAUUUACAAAGCCUUUGGAGAAAAAUCAAUUUGAAAUUAUCCGUUCCAAACUCAACAUUUUGAGGUUUGAAGAAGUUAAAGUCUAGAGACUCUUAGACUCAGAAAAAUAAGACUUUGACUGCAAGACUUUGACUGUAAGUUAUUUUCUCUCUCUAAUCUCAUCUUGAAAAGGUACGUUCAUCAACCGUGUUGAUUAUUGUUAUCUCAAUCGCUAUCUUUAAUUGACGAAAUUAUUGCAUCGUUUCUUUUAGAAAAAAAAAGUUAUUUUGAUGUGACCAUUUUUCGAAAAAGGCAGUUAUUUUUUUUUAAAAGGCAUCUUUUCACUUACCAUUACGAUGGUUGGUAUCCUCUCCUUACGACUGUCUUAUAUACAGUCGUUUUCUCCUCGCUUAACUCCAAAACCCUAAAAAGCACCAAUCUUCCAUUCAUGUUUUCUUCUCUUGUUUAAUCUUCGAAAAAGUUGUCAUCUUUCUUGGGAAAGUCAAGCAAGGAAUCUUUCAAAGACUAAGAAAGAUGUCGUCUUCAAGAAAGUCUUCGAGGAUCGCAAGCAGGGGACCACGGCGAAUGAGUGAGGGGCCUACGCACUUCGAUCUCACUGAAGAAGAAGUGUCUCCAAAUCAGUAGCAGAGCCCACAACAUUCUCAGCAGCGUCAUUCUCCUCCAUCUAGUCCUCAAGAUGUUGAUCAUCAUCAAAAUGAAGAAAUCAUUGAAGAUGCAGACCCUGUAAGAGUUCAAAGGCCCUCUUUUAUUUAUAAGUUGUAUCGUGCUUUAAAAGGGACUGGUCCUCCAUUGAACUAUGUGGAUGAUUUUCUUAAGGACAAAGGAUAUGGAAAUGAAUAUAUCUUUUUGCGAAAAAUGGAAAGUUUGGGAAUUGCUCGUAAGGGGGUGGCAGAAGAAACCCUUGCGAAUAUCCCAAGUGACCCUCGUGAUUAGGGAUUUAAUCCGGUGGAUGGAAACGAUGAUGACAGAUUAUACAGUGAAUUUCAACCAAGAAUGGGAGUUGCGGCGGAAAAUUGAGGAAAAAUGGGAGAAUUGUUUAGAUCGAAGGAACAGAAUGAUCUAUACUCAAAAUUGCUAAAGCGUGGGGGUGAUAAACCCUAGGAGUGUGGAUUUUGACUUUCUGGAUGCUGUAAAUGUGAACUUGAGGGAAAAAUUCGGUCAUCUUCAACUUGAGAAAUUCUGCUCUGACUCCACAGAGGCUUAUCCUCAACUAACUGCAUAUUUCUAUUCAAAUCUUAGUUUCUUAGAUGCGAAUAGAUUAUCCUUCAGUGUCAAAGAUCAAGACUUUGUUGUGGAUAUGGAUAUGCUGGCAGAUGUGUUAGGAGUUGAGAGAGGAAGAUAUCAAUGGAUCAAAGUUUCUAUUGCUCGUACUACUCUAGAACUUGUUAAGGACAGGAGAACUGAGGGAAAGAUUUCAUAUUCAAGGAUGAGUGCAUUUAACAUCUUGCUGCACAAAAUUGUAAUCAAUUGCCUCAUACCGAAAUCAACUUCCAAGACUGAUGUCUCAAGUUCAGAGGCAAAGCUAAUGUAUGCUAUCAUCACUAGGAAAAGGUUUUCACUUCCUCACACUGUUAUGUUCCACAUGUAUAGAGCUGUAAUGAAGGAUAGAGGACAACUUCCUUAUCCAGGUCUUGUGACGAAGUUAUUCAGACAUCUGAACAUUCAGCCUCUACAAAUUCUUUGUGCUCGAUUGUGCGAUCAUAUGGUGGUAGGACUGAAAAUGGUGACCAAGAUGCGUCUGAAGGAACUAAGCAAGGCAUUGGAGAAAUUUAAGCAGAAGACUCCAGUCAAAUCUCAUCAAUUCUCUUCUGCAGGAAAAAUGAAAGGGAAGGAGCCCAUGGAUGCUCCAUCUAAGAGAAGAAGAGCUCUCCUCGUUGAGGAUGAAGAUGAUGAGGAUAACAUCACUAUCUCUGCAAUGGCUUUGAAGAAUCUCAGUCGAUCUGUUCUAGAGAAAGAGUCAGAACAGCAGACAGAAGAAAGAGCAAAGAAAGAAAUAGAGGAAAAAGAAACGGAGGAAAGAGGAGAAGAAGAAGAAGAAAGAGAUGCUGAGCAAGAGAGAGUUGAAAAAGAAGAAGAAGAGAAAAGAGAUCAAGAAGAAAGAGAACAUGGGGAACACUCUCUACCUGAAGGCAUGAACACAGGGGGAGACCAAGAGAAAAGAGGAAUGUCCUCAAAUCCUGCAACCAAUGAGGGAGUCAGUCGAUCCCCAGCAGAUCCAGAGGAGGUUUUUGCCUUUCGGUUUCCUGAGGAAGGUCAUGAGAUUUCUUCGCCAAAUCUGCGUGAUUAUGCUGAUCUACCAUCGUCUGCAUUUACUCCAUCAGAUCGUGCAAAUGCCAGUACGCAGACCGACAAUUCAACAGACUUUCGCAGAGUGAUGGAUAUUCUCUUGGAGAUGCAAGGUCAAAUAUAUGCAUUGGGAUGUGAAGUUCAGAACUUGCAGAAUGCAGGACAAGUCUCUUCGGGUUCAUUAAAUGAUCAAAUCCAAGCCAUUUCUCUUCAGAUUCAGGCUAAUGCUAAGGGUGAGGAUGUUGCUCAGCUGAAGGAAGACUUUAAAAGGCUGGAAGGCAUCGUUCAGUCGAUGGGAGAUUUUAGCUUGUUCGUGUUCUCAAGAAUACUUGACUUCAUUUUCAUCUCAAUCUUUUUUAUGCUGACAAAAAGGGGGAGAGUUGCGAGACUUGAAAAACUUUGAACUUAAAUUUGUUGAACUUUUGGUUUGUUUUAUGGUUUGUUUUGACUUAACUUGUGUGUCUGGAUAUGGACUAAAUUUGGGAUUUGGAUUUGACUGCUUAUUAUUAACUACUAUUGAUAUCUUAUGGAUGGUUUUAUUGCAUACUGGACUAACCUAUUUUCUGUGGGUGCAGAUUCUAGUGUUAUUCAUUUAGCCAUUUAUCUAUAAGAUAUGCAUAUGUGUUUGAGAAAUGUUUUGCAGGUCAAAGUUUUUCAAAUCUGCAGGAAAGUUUUGUCACCAUCAAAAAGGGGGAGAUUGUUGGAGAAAUCCUCUUGAAGUGUUUUGAAGUUGACAAAACGUUUCUAGCAAUCUAGUCUGAAGGCUUGCAGACUCUGCUAUUUAAAUUCUAAAGACCUUUGGACAGCUAGACUCAAGACUCAAAGUCUAUCCUCAUUGACAGUUUCUAAUCCGUUGAAGAAAUGCUAUCCAGAAUUGGAUAUUUCAUUAAGGAUGUGGCCUUAUCGACUGGAGAAGAUCUCUUGGCUGGAUAUGACAUAACGGAAUCCUUUAUUUGAUCAUAAUUGAUUUAAAGAUUAAAGAUCCGAUGAUUGGCAAAGUAUACUUGGAAGGUUCUACUUAUGGAAACUGAGAUCCUGAUUGUAUGGGCGAACAUCACUGAUGGGCUAUUGACAUGUUCCUUUAAUAGCUCGAGUGAUCUUUCUAAUUGAUUCCGUACAACGGGUAGAUUGGAGGAAUUCCUUUGGUAAGUGCCAACGGGUAUGAUGGCAUGAAGGAAUAUAUAAGGAAGACGUUCCAGUUGUUCUAGGGAGUGCACGAUAGAAGAAUUCCAAAGUCUGAAGCUCCUUGUUCUUAGUCAAUUCAUUUGUUGAGCAAAAUCGUGUAAACAAAAGAGAGUCUAUAUUCGUGAGAAACCUUGAGGAAGUGUGAUAGAACAUCUACACUGCGGAAUCAAGGAAAAGCUGUGCUGUAACUUCUCUUUUGUUCAUAGUGAAAUCCAACCGGUGGGCUGUCAGUGCGGAAGAAUGGACGUAGGCUUGGAAUAAGCCGAACCACUAUAAAUCUUGUGUUCAUUUCUCUCUUCCCUAUCAUUUACUUUACUUUGAUCGUAUUUUCUUUUCUAUCGAUUGCCUAGAGUUGCUUCCGUAUCUCGAGAAUUUGUUUGUGCACUUAUUCACCCCCUCUAGGUGCUUAUACUAGCUAUCUCAAUGAGGACGCAAAAUUAUGUGGAUUUUGAUGUGAUGAUGCAAGGAUGUUGAUGCAAUGUGAUCCAUAUUUUGAAGAUUUAUUUCUCGCAAAAUAGGUUAAAGCUUUCCUAUCUCUUAUCUUGCAAGAUUUGGAAUAUCUAUAAGAAUCAUAAUCUUUUUAUCUAUAUCAUAAUCUUGUUAUCUAUCAUUCUUAUAGAUUAAGAUUGUGCUUUAAUUAAAACCCUUCCUAUUUUCAAAGCUUUACCAAAAUCAUUUCUUUUAAAAUGAUUUUGCUGUGAAAGUUUUGUCAUCAUUAAAAGGGGAGAGACUAUUAAGGAAAAUUCCCUUAUUAGUUUUGAUGAUUAACAAAAAUUUCUUUAAUCGUUCUUUAAUUCUGAUGGUAAAAAUUUUCAGGUGGAAACUGUGAUGAGCACUAUUAGACGUUAUUCAUUAGACUUAGAAAAUCAGACUCUAAAUGUUGAAGAAGUUUAUAUCUUUGAUAUUCAAUACUCAGGGAUAUUGAUAGAGAGAGUAAUCUUCAUGCAACGGCUAGAAAUUUGGUGGAUUCCUUGCUAAAAUUAAAAGAUCUAUCCAAGAAGGAAAUUAUAUCAAAUCAAAUCUUUCAAGAUGGAAUAUAGCAAGAAUUGGAUAAAUCAAUCUACAAGAGGCGAAAUAUUUUUUCCAAGUGAAGCACUUUUCUUAUAGAAACUCUAUCUACUGUAUAGGCGGCAGAAUCAUUGAGAGACUUCAAUCUUAGCAGCCUUGAAGCAAUAAGAUCUUCUAACAACAUUCAAGUUCAAUGGGUAGAUUGGAUGGGCGAUCCUCUAAGGUUACGUCCAACGGUCAACUUGGAGAAAGAGGAUUAUAAAAGAAGGUCAGGAUGCUGAAAGGAAACAAGAAACUGAAAUUGUAAAGUUUAUAAUUCCUAAGUCUUGAGUGAUCUUCAAUCAUAUAUAUUCGUUUCUAUGAACUAUACUGUGUAAUCUUUUAGAGGUUGAGAGUGUGUGAGGAAUUGUUCACACAAGCUUGAAUAGUUAUUACCCAGAUCUUGUUCCUUUGAUAGAUUCAUCUAGUGAAUUCAACCAAUUAGUUGUUAGCACGAGAGAGUAGACGUAGGGUUACAAAAGCCGAAUGACUAUAAUCAUUUGUGUGUAAUUUUCUAUUCCUUACUCUCUUUAUUUUACUUGUGAUAAAAGUUAAUCACACACUGAUAAGAUCUAAAAAGUACUCAACUUGUUGUCAGAUGUUGUAACGUUUUAAAUUUAUUUUAUUCCGCACUAUCACCUAUUCACCCCCUCUAGAUAAUCCAUGUAGCUCUAACAAUUUAUAUGUUGGAUGUCUAUGGUUCAUAAGUGCGCAUAUUGAUACUUUGUCAAACUGUCUCUAUUCUCAAUGGUCAUUGUCUAUUCAUAUGCGAAGGCACAUGCACGCGCAAUGUAGAAUCUAUCUUCUUGGUAUACAUAUGUAGAUACACAAGAUAAAAAGUUGAUGUUGUAUGCGAUCUAAUAAUGACAUUGUAUUGAAAUCGUCGACCGGAGUUGUAAUCGAAAAUGAAUGGUUCAUAUCUCGUAGAAUACAUGUCAAUUAGAUUUGGGCAUAUGAUCGAAUUGGUAGCUUGACAUAUGGUUCCAUGGCUUUUAUUCGAUUGGGAUAUGAUGAGACAGAAUGAUCAAAUUACACAGUCACCAAAGUUGAUAGAUUCAUUAUGUUCUUGAAACAUUCGCACUGUCUUUGUAGCCAUAACAUAUUGCUAGACGUCAUUCAUGGUUUAUAGGAAUCGGAGAUUAAUCAAGACAAUCAAUUCUCUUGGUUGUGCUAAUGUGUUAGUACAAGUCUUACUGCUACUUUAGUGAUGAACCUAGGGAUAUUACACACUAUAACCAAUUGGAAUUACAUUUGAAUGAGAGAUAAGAUAUUGCAAAUGUGUUUGCAAUUGAGCCAAUUAGAUUGAGUCAAGCUGAAAAUAAAAGAUCUGAAAGUGGCUUCAGAUUUUACGGACAAAUCAAAGAUAUAAAGCAUGUCUCAAAAUUUAUAGUAGAAUCAAAGAUCUAAAGUGGGUUCAUAUUCAACAACCGAAUUAAUAAUCUGAAGUGAGUUCAAAAUUAAUAGCCACAUUAAUGAUCUAAAGUGAAUUCAGAAUCAAUUGCAUCAUUAAUGAUUUAAAGUGAAUUCGGAAUCAACAGUCAAAUAAUGAUUUGGAACGGUUUUAGAAUUAAUGACUAAAUUAAAUAUCUAAAACGGUAGUUUUAACGAUCACAUUAAUGAUUUGAAAUGAUUUUAGAAUCAAUGGGCAGUUUAAUGAUCUGAAACAGUUUCAUAUUCAAAUGACCAAUUAAUAAUUUAAAACGGUUUCAAAUUUAAUGGUCAAAUUAAAUAUUUGUAACAGUUAAAAAAUUAAUACCCAGAAUAAAGUCUUGUAACGGUUACAAAUUAAUGCCUAGAAUAAUAUUCUGUAACGGUUACAAAAUUAAUGCACGGAUUAGUGUCUGAAACGAUCUCUAAACUUACGUCCCUCAAAUGUUACGGUCGAAUUAAUUCUCUAAAACAGUUUUAGAGUUAAUGAACCGAUUUAAAGGGGGAUGAGUACACUAUUGGUGCCAUAAGUUGUGUACGGCGCUCACUUUGGUGCCAAAAGUUUCCGCCAGAUCACUUAAGUACCAAAUCGGAGAAAAAACGAUCACUUUGGUGCCACUGGUGAGAAAGUCCUACCAAAAUGAUUACGCGGCAUUUAUAUUUAAAAAAAAAAAUCGACAACUCUUAAUAUUGUCCACGGUGGAUGGCAUAAAACGAUGCCGUUUCCUUUUCUUCGUAAGAAACAACGUUGUUUUACCAUUCCCUACAAAACGAUCGUUGUAUAGUGGAUUCACUACGGUAAAAAACGACGUGGGCCAAAAACGGUGUUCGUAUAGGAUUCUCGCUCGACGCCGCUAGCCAUAGCUUGCUAACCCACCAUCGUUCACUCGCCCGCCGUCGCUCGCCCACCGUCGCUCGACCACCGCUAUAGUUGUGCCAUCAUUCACGUGCGUUCACUAGCUGCGUCCUCAACUCUCACUCACUCAGGUUUGUCAUGUUCUCUAUGUGGGUCAAUUUAGUGAAAAAUUUAGGGUUCCGACAGGCAAGUUAGGGCGUGGAGGGCAAAUUAAGGGCUCAGCUCAGAGGGAAAGUGGUGGGGAAAGUGGUGGGGACCGAAUAGAAAAUUUGAGGGUUUCGUUGUUCGUUUGCUUUCUUUUGUGGGGACCGAAUAGAAAAAUAGGGUGCGGAGGGGAAAAUGGGGCUCGACUCGGGGGGAAACAAUGGUGAGAUCGAAUUUAUUUAAUUAAUUGGACUACUUAUGUGGGGGAAAUAGGGGGACCGAAUGUGAUUGAAUUGAAAAAUGGGUGGUGGGACCUCACUUUGUUUAUUCAAUUCGGUUUCUUUUGUUUUUGUAAAAGCACCGAAUUGGGAGAUUAGUUGCAUUUGUUUCUUGACAACAAAACGACAAUGACCUCCAUGUGAAGUUGCUGAUUCCGUCAUGUGGUCCCAACAAGUAAUGACAUUUGUUUUUUUUUAUUGGGUGCAGCAUUGACAUGGACGCGAAUCAGGUAGGCAUCAUUGUUUGCUAUGGUGGAGAGUUUCUUAUUGGCACCGAUGAUUGGAAAUAUACUGGUGGAAAUGAAGGUACUAUUUAUGUCAAUGUUCGGAAGCCAUCAUAAAUUGAUUUUUUGAGGGUUUGGUGUAUUUUUUCUAUGCAAAGUGCAAAAACUACAUUACUGUGUUCCUAGGAAGGAAUUGAAGGAUGGCUUGAGAUUUUUUAAUAACGAUAAUGGUAUUAAGGAUAUCAUUUACCAUUAUCUUCACGGCGAAGAAGCUAAGGUAUAUGUUGAGUAUUAUAGUGAUGGUGAGGAUGAGGAUGAUGAUGAGGAUGGUGAGGAUGAGGAUGAGGAUGGGGAUGAGCAGACCACCACUAAAGAGGAGAAGUGAGGGAUCCUAUUCAAGCGAGUAAUUAGGUCGGGGAUGAAAGAGAUGAAAGGGAGAGAACUCACAUUGAUAGAGAUGAACAAACAGUGACAUGUCUUGAAAGCUUGGGUGAAGAUUUGGGUGAAGAUUUGGGCGAUGAGGACUUCAUUGGAUUAGAAUAGGAAAUUGCUUUAUCCAGUGAAUCAGAAGAUGAAUAUUUUGCUUCAGUAAAUUUCCCAAGUGAUGAAGAUGAUGAUGAACUCGCACAAUCAAGACAAAAGCAAAGGGAAUUUCUAAGAAAAAAACUUGCACCUUCAACAAAGAGGCCUGAGCAAGUAAAUGGGGAUGGAGUUCCAGCUGAAGGUAAUAGAAGUGAAGAUGAAGAAAGCUGCGGCGAUGAAGUUGUUAGUUCGGAGAUUGAGCUUGAUAAUGAUGAUGAAGAACCUGCUCGUCGAAGAAAAAGUAAGUACCCUUGCUAUGAUCCGACUGUUAAUAAACUUAUUUUGUCUGUGGGCAUGAGAUUUCACGAUGCCAAACAGUUCAAGGAAGCUGUUGUGAAGAACUCUAUUGGUGAAUAGAGGAGUGCCAAAUUCAUUAGAAACACGAAGGAAUUUGUGAGAGCGAAGUGCUCACAACCCAAUUGUCCAUGGAAGCUCUAUAGCGCGUUGAGUAAAAAUGGAUCAUUUCAGAUUAGGUCCUUGCAGGAGGAGCAUACUUGUCCAAUUAUUUUUAACAAUAAAGGGGUAACAAGUGUGUGGUUAUCGAAGCAUUUUUUUCAACACUAUCAAAGCAAUGCCCGAGAUCAAGAGUCCUCAAUUUCAACAAUUAGUGAAUGAGCAAGUAGGGGUUAAUGUGUCAAGGAAUUAAUGCUAGAUAGUUAAGAUGAGGGUGAUGAAAAUACUAAUGGGUGGGUAUAAGGAAGAAUAUGUGCAAGUAUGGGACUAUGCUGGCGAAUGCAUGUUUCAAAACCCAUCUAGUAGGGUGUAUGUAGAGGUUGUGGAGAGGCCACAUCCUGAUCUUGGGCCUAGAAUUGAUAGAUUUUAUGUCUGUUUUGAUGCUUGCAAACGGGGUUUCUUGGCUGGUUGUAGAAGAGUUAUAGAAUUGGAUGGAUGCUUUCUAAAGGGUUUGUGCAAAAGGGAGUUGUUAGCUACUAUGGGGAGAGAUGCCAAUAAUCAAAUGUUUCUGAUAGCUUGAGCGAUGGUGAAGAUAGAGAACAAGGAUAUUUGGUCUUGGUUUCUCAAAAAUUUAAUGGAUGACCUUGAGAUAACCAAUGGGAGAGGAUGGGCAUUCAUAAGCGACCAACAGAAGGUAAUUUCAUUGUCAAUUAAUUCACUCCCUUUUAAUAUUAAUCAUUUGCAUAUUUUUCUUGACUUGUAUUUAUUGGUUUGAAUUUUGUAGGGACUUAUUCCUGCAUUGGCUGAGUUGAUGCCACAUGCUGAGCAUAGAAUGUGAGCAAGGCACGUAUAUACAAACUGGUCAAGGAACUUCAAAGGAGAUAGGCUGCAGAAGCAGUUCUGGUAGAUAGCAAAGAGUAUCAACAUGGCUGAUUUCAUAUUAGCUAAACAAGGAUUGUUGCAGCUGACAAAGGAAGGUUUUGAUGCACUAUUCCAGACAGAAGCUAAGCACUAGUGUCGGGCCUUCUUCAGCGAAGAGUUCAAAUGCGAUAUUAUUGAUAACAACCUCAGUGAAGCUUUCAAUGGCAGAAUUUUAGAGGCCAGGUGCAAACCAAUCAUCAGCAUGCUUGAUGAUAUUCGAGUGAUGGUGAUGACUAGACUACAUAGGCAAAGAGAUGAGGCUACGAAACGGACUAAAGACCGUGGCCCUAAGAUUAUGAAGAGAUUUGAUGCAAACAUUGCUGCUAUUAGGUUCUGCCAUCUAGUUUGGAAUGGAGAUAAUGGAUAUGAGAUUAUUUAAAAUCAGGAUAAGUAUGUUGUCAACCUGGAUAGAAGAAAGUGCUCAUGCCGAGCCUGGCAACUGAAUGGAAUUCCUUGUCCCCAUGCAAUUUGUGCUAUUCAUAUGAAGCAAGAAAACCCAGAUGAUUACCUAUAUGAUUGGUACAAAAAAAGCCCAUACCUUACUUCAUACCAAUUCAUGAUCCAGCCUAUCAGAAGCAGCAAAUUUUAGGAGCCAAUAAAUCACGAAAGCCAUCUACCUUUGCCACUGAAGAAGCAAAUUGGAAGGCCAAAACAGAAAAAGAAUAAUGCAGCAGGAAGAGGCAUCAAGUCAGAAGAUGAGUAGGACUGGCUCAAAGAUGAAAUGCUCAUAUUGCCGCAAGGAAGGGCACAAUAAGAAAGGUUGUGAGCUGAAAAGGCAGCAUCAACAGCAAAAUGUAAUGGCUGAAGGUAGGACAGAAGGCUCUACUGAAGAGCUUCUUGUUGAGCCUAGUGAAGGUAGGACAGAAGGCCCUGCAGUAGUGCCUACUGAAGGGCAAACAGAAAGCCCUACUGUAAGGUAAGUAUCCUCUUUACCUCAGUAACUUUACAUUUCUUAUUCGAUAGAGUUUGAUGAUUGACCAUGUGUGCUGGCUCCUCUUGUGAUUUUCCUCUAUCAUGCACUUGUAAUUUGAUAAGUUUUCUCCAUUUGUUUCCACCAUGAAAAUGAGUAGAUGUCUAAUUAUUCAUUGUAGUUGGUCAUGAUCCUGAUAUAGUACAUUGUUGUAAGGCCUUCUAAAGGACCGGAAAAAGGCCCUGUUGUAGGCUCAAGUGCAGGGACAGGAACUAGAAUAGGCAGGACAACAACAACAACAACUGAGUCCAUUGUUGAGCAAACAAGAAGAAAAAAAGUUCCUGUAAAUUGUAAAUCACCGUGUUUGUCUUUUAUGGGCUAGAUUUUAAAUUUGUUAUGUGUUUCUCAGGUGAGAAGAUGAGCAACUUCACAAGUUGCAAAGGCUGCUCCCCCAUCUAUUGCUGCUGAAAAUGAUGCACCACAGCGAACAAGAUGGGCUAUUGGAAAAAGAUUAAGGCAAUAUGGUUAUGGGAUUUAUACAGAUGAACGAACUGGAAUGACUAUUUUGAAUGUAAGAUUUGUAGGCCUCAUGCAUUUAAUUUGUUGUACUUCAAUUCAUUUGGUUGACAAUAUCGCUAUGUUCUUGUAGCUUGGGAGAACUUCGGAGAUACCUCUCUUUCAAGGUGGGCCAACUCAAGAAUCAAGGGCGCAGCCAAAGAAGAGUGCUCUAAAGAAGAAGACAGUGGGUAUAACUGCAAAACAGCCAUCCAAACAGAACCCAACACCAGUUCCAUCUCAACUAACAAUUGGGCGCGAUAGUGAUGAUAUGGACCAACACAUGACACAUGCUAGAACAAGAAUAGUCACCGUUAAAAACAAGGAAAAGGAGGUGACAGAACGCCCAGUUAAAGAAUCUACACAUCCAGUUCGAAAGAGUGCUCGGAUUAUGAAUCAAUUCAAAGCUCCAAGAAGAAAAAGAGAUCAAGGUGUUGUCUAUAUUGACUGAUGGGAAGGUGCUGGACAUGGUCUCUUUUUAUGUGGUGCUGGACAUGGUCUCUCUUUUUAUGUUUUCUUUUUUUAGGAGGGUGCUGGAUAUUAUAUCACUGAUAGUAGUUGCUGUCUCCAUAUUGCCAUUGGUUUUUUUUUUUUUUCAAAAGGGUGCUGAACCUUUAGUGAUUAGGGAGUGAAGUUCAUAUUUUUUUUUUCUUUUGUAAACAAUCAAUCAAUGUCAAUGAUAAUAGUUGUUUCUAUUAUUUUCUCUUAGCUUGGUUUCGGCUAAUAGUUAGCAAGAUAGUUAUCAAUUAUGAUGUAUAUUUUUUUGCCGUUGGUGCAAUGUUCUUAUGAGGUUGCUAUUAUUUUUAGAUUUAGAUGUGUGCAUAUAGUGUUGCUGGUUGAAGUUGUUGAUGCGUUGAUGCUAUUUGUGGGGUUCUGGUUGAAUGUGCUGGAAAAAGAUGCAAUUUUGGGUGCUGGUACAUCUCGUUGCAGGGCUAUUGUGUUGCAAGAAGAUGUACCAACAACCCAACUAGUGCAAGAACAAGAUGCAAGAUGCACCACAACUGGUGCAAAUUUGAAAUUGGCACUCAAGCGAUCGCUAUUUACAACUUUUGGCACUGAAAUGGUCAAUCGUUAAUUUGCCACCAUCCCUUAAUUUUGCCAUGGGUUUGCAGUUGCAGCAAACCACAAACCAUGUACAACUUGUGUAACAGAAAUGAUCACUUUGUAAUCGCGACUAGACCAAAACAAACAUUGCCAAAACUUGGCGCUCAAACAAUCACUAUUUAUAACUUUUGGCACUGAAAUGAUCAAUUGGUAAUUUGCCACGAUCCCCUUAUUUUUGCCAUGGUUUGCAGUUGCAGCAAACUACCAACCAUUACAACGAUAAAAAUGCAGCACCCAUUCUAUUUUGAAGGCAAAAACUGCAGCAACCAUUUUAUUGAAAACAAAAACUAACCAAAACAAACAUUGUCAAUACACAACUAAACAAUAAAAAGUGCUUAGAACUAAUGCAUUCUAACUCCAACAUUCCAUUUUGCUAUGGUUUGCAAUUGCAGCAAACCAACAAACCAAAAAAUUAUGAGGGUAAAUAAAAAAUGCAGCAAGCAAACAUUGCAUUUCUGAAGUGCUCACAAUUAAUGUAUUCUAACUCCAACCUUGCAUUUCUACCAUGGAUUACAACAAAACCUUCUGCUUCAUACAAAAAUGGUAGACAUACAAACUUCUUCUCAGUACUCACUUCACAUUUGAAUAAAUAUCCAAGAGAAUAAGAACACAAUCAACGCUCGAUAAAAGUUUCUUUCAAUUUUCAGCCUUGAAACCUCCCUCUUCAAAUGGUCGACCAGAAAUGUUAAACCCUUCAUUUGAGCUUGCAUUGAGUCGACAUCCUCCAACUCAUCCAUUAACGUAGGUGAAGGUUGAUUUCGGCCUUAAGUAACUCCAGGAUCACCUUUGUCGCUCGAUUAAAGAAUUUCCUAUCAACUAAUUUGAAAUAUUUGCACUUUGAGCAUUCUCUAUAUCUACCGCACCCAUGGAAUCUUCUCCUGGGAUUCAACUGAGUCCCAGAUGUUCUUCUCAGGCUUGGUAACCCACAAUAAUAGUAACACUCACCAUCUAAUUCGUUUUUUUUAUAGGAAUGUAAGCCGCUACUAAAGCUUCUGCCCUCCAUUCGUAAGAGCAAGCUGAUAACUUUGAGAGAAAAUCGAAGUAUGCACUCGAAUUGGUCGAAUUGAGGAUUUAGGGUUUUCAAUUUCCGAUUCUACUCGAAUUUAGGGAUUUAGGGUUUCUUAUUUGGGGGAAAAGACACUAAAUGGCGUUGUUUUGUUGUUUGCAUGUUGGAUUUCCAGCCAACUAGAUUAGAGUUGGCACCAAAGUGAGAGUUUUUCAAAAUUUUUGGCACUUAAGUGAUCCGACUAAAACUUUUGGCACCAAAGUGAGUGCUGUACACAACCGUACACAACUUAUGACAUCAAUAGUGUACUUAUCCCGAUUUAAAGGUGAUCUGGGAUUAAUUAUAAAAGGCAAUUGAGAGAGCUGAUCACAAGAUGAUUAACAAUCGACAAUUAAAAGUGUUAAUAGUGAUUGACUAAGUCACACACGAGAACAAUUGCUAGCACAAUUGUAAUGGUGAGAUCUCUCAAUUUAUCUCUACUAUUCAACGUAAGAUUGGUGGUGUGUUUGAAUUAGAGGCUCGACAUUUGUGGGGCUGGAUCUGAAGAACGUCUGUCACGCCCCGAACCUUGAGCGCGCCAACAUCCCACCAUGGUCAUGCAAAUGCGACAUUCCCAGGUAGUGUCGCCGACCCCAUUCAUUUAUUAUUGCGCAAGCGGAACGUAUUAUAAAACCCUUGACAAUGAAAUACAUGAUAGAAAAGUAAGAAGCAAAUCCACAACAUAACACUUUCAUAAUUCAACAGAAUUACAAACAGAAGCCUACAGCCAAAAGUCUACAAAAGACCGGCUCUUAAAAAGGAACUGUCUUACGACCUACAAGUUGGACACAUUCUCCAAUCCUUAUGACUUCACCUCUGCAACUUCUCAAGGCCAACCAAAGCUAUCUGGUCGCUCUGUCCACCAGGGACCGAAUUAGCGAGCCGAGCGGACCAAAACGACGAGGGCGACGCGAGGAUCGACUUUCCUCAAGGCGGGCCAAGCAUCCGGGCUCGGGAAGGCGGCCAAAACGGGCCAAACAUGGGCUGCCAUACCCAUUUUUCCAGCCACUGAUUUGGGGCCGAGAAGGACGGAUCCGGCGCCGGUUCGAGCGGAGGAAUGAUGGGGCUUGGACGAGCCAGUAGAGAGGUCAACGGUGGCUCACGGUGGCGGGGACGAGCUCUGGCAGCUCCUGGAACGCACGAACCGAGGCUGAGACGCAGCUGGGCGUCGGCCAAGCGCGGGCGAGCGCGAGCAGCGGCGAAGCGCGAGACGGCAAGCAGCGACAGCGGAGGGCAGCAGCGUCGCGCACGGCGCGGGCUGCUUCAGCGUCCAUCCCAGAUCUGGGAUCUCGGGCAGCAAAUGGAGAUGGAGAGAAGGCUUCGACGGCAGCUGAGGAGGAUGAGGAAGGCGGAGGGCAACGCGCGCGCCCGAGGAGCAGCGACGGCGGAUGGCGGCGACAACAAGCGGACGGGCAACCGGUCAGGCGGAGGCUGCUGCAACCGGAUCUCUUCUGCUAUUGGUCACUGAAGAAGAAGAAGAAGAUGAAGGGGGGGUGCCGACGGAAGAGAGAGGAAGAAGAGAGGAAGAAGAGAGGGAGGAGAGAGAUGGGGAGAGAGAGAGAUGGGACCAUUUUUUUUUCUUUUUCUUUUUCUUUAACCCACAAAAAUGGCCCACCACCAUGACAUCACAUGGUGUCAUACUCCACUAUCUCCAAACCUCCCACAAUAAUCUUCAAUGGGUCCAAUUUCAUUUUCCGCCGGGGCCUAAAAUCUUGUACACUAAUUUCUUCAAUUCCAAUCAAUUCUCUUCCAAUUGAGUCCAAUUAAAGUCCAUAAAAUUAAUCCAAUGUCACCGCACUUCAAUUCACAUCUUCACUUGUCAGUAGAACCAACUUAAGUCCCAAAAGCGCGACCAAAGAUGAGCCUACUAAUUUCUCGAGCCAAAUUAGCCAUUCUUUGAUUUAAUUGCUGAAAAAAUUCUGAUUACAUGAAAAAUCUUCUACACAUGAGUUAAUACUCCAAAAAUGAUUUGUGACACACCCAGACUUCCAAUUUCUGAAUUCAAUCUCAAUUCCACGGUUAAUUUCACUUUGGCACGAUACUAGCGCGGCCCAACUUACCGGGUAGCCUUUAGAAAUUUUCAUGCAUUUGACCUGUGGUUGAUCAUCUCAAGCCACAAUGUACAUCUUUGAAACAUUGGCGACUUUCGAUUAUCGGCGUAAUCUCAAGGUUUCAAAUACGAACGCAGGGUACCCAAUCGAUAGAAAAGUCGGUCCAGUGCCGAUUGACAAGAAUUGUGCGAUCUAGUGGAAUCACCCACACUCGAUCACAUGCCUCUGUCGAGUCAACCUAUCUCCGGUCUCUAAUCGAUUUUUAUUUGUGCCGUAAUGACCCUUGCAUAUUAGCUCGGUCGAAAAGUCGCUUCCUGAUCAAAUUCUCAAGUCUGAUGCAUUAGAAACUCUUAACGGCUUCACCCGAUAGACUAGUUUUCACAUGAGUGGUCGACUCAAGGAAAAGAACUAUAUGCGUGCCAAUGAAAUGCUCGUCUCAAUUUAUUGAAAAUAGGAUUGGAAAAUCGGGAUGUCACAACUCUUCCCCUCUUAUAAAAAUUCCGUCCUCAAAAUUUAAACCUUUACCAAUUCUUAAACAUAAAAGGUGGGGGUACAAUUGUCUCAUUGAAUCUUCGGUUUCCCAAGUUGCUCCUUCAGUACCAAUACUGCCAGAUCACUGCUAUCUUGCCCAAACCACUUCGGGUUCCAAAAUACUAAACCUUUGCCCACUUAAAAUUCCAAAGGUCUUCAACACAAAAUCUGUGAAACUAAACUGGCGAUUUUGAGCAGUCUCUAAACCGUCUUUGAUAAUUAUGACUAAACCACUGAUUUCUUAACCAACUCUGGACCUGCGAUUUUCUAAUCUCCGAUCUCGUCUCAACCGACUGAAAUCCUGUAAACUCUGCUCUACACUGACUAAAAAGAAACUAUCUGACUGAUCUGCUGAAACUGGGAACCUCUAGUCAAGAUCUAAUAUAACUCUGACACUGAUCUCGACAACUGCAAUCACUGACUACUGUACUGACCCUGGCCUGUGAUCUUUCUUUCCCUGACUUCAUCUCAGCAAUUGAAAUUCUGCACUCUCUGCUAUACACUGCUUAAGAAAGAACCAUCUGAAAGCUCUGCCAACUUGGAACAUCUGAUCUAGAUUUGAAAUACAAUUCAUCCCCGGCACUCCAUGCAGAUGAUUUAUAUGAUAUACACACACUUCGGUGUACCCACUUUGUGACUAGAAAGAAUCUCCAAUUUCUGAAAUCGAACUUAGAUUGGCAGUUAAUUUCACUCUGACACGCUUUUAGUGUGACAUAGGCUACUAAGUAGUUUUCGAAGCUUUUUAGGACAAAUGACCCGUGGUCGAUUUUCUUCGAGCCACGAUGAAUCCACUCGACACAUUGGCAACUCUCGAGGGUCGUGAAAAUCUCGAUGAUUCAAAUACGGACACAGGGUACCAAAACGACAGUAAAAUCAAAUUCGUAUCAGUUGACGAGAGUUUUCCAAUUUAGUGGAGUCACCCACGAUCGGUCAUUCAUCUCAGUCGAACCGACCUAUCUCUGAUCUUAAUUUGAUUUUUAACUGUGCCGUAAUGAUCUCUAAAGAUGAGCACGGUCGAGAAGUCAAUUCCUGGUCGAAUUUUCAAGUCUAUUUGCCUUAAAGUCCUUAAUAACUCACCCAACUAGUCUAGUUAUCUCGUAAGUGACCAACUCAGAGAAAAACACUGUAAUCGCAUCGAUGAAAUGCCCAAUUUAACCAAUCGAAAUCAGAGUUUGAAAAUCAGGAUGUCACACACUCAAAACAAGAUCUAUUCGUACUGUUUGGACAAUGUUGAAAUUGCUAUGAUGAGUUUCCCAUAAGAUCUCUUCUUUAAUCUCUGUAUCGUCAAUUACUCACAAUCAUCCUCAGAACCUUAGCGUUCUGUCUUCAGAAAUCUGAAAAUCAACCUCUCUCUCAUCUGCAUUCUCUUAUAGAGUCUUCUGAAUUUCUGAAUCUGUCCACUGAAGCGCUUUGAUUCUGAUCUGUACUCUCGGCUCAAUUCUAAGGGUAGUCAUAAGAUUCAAAGGUGGCUUACCUUAGAUUUGAAAAUCGAAUUUCGAACUUUCUUAAACAAGAUCCAAUCCUUGAGUACCAACUGUGCAACUAAGGACUCUCGACUCAGUGCAUCUGUAACUUUGCUCACCUUUCCGGAGGGAUACAAAAUAUCAUAGUCAUAAUCCUUAAUGAGUUCCUUUCAGCGACGAUGUCUCAUAUUCAACUCCUUAUGAGAGAAUACGUACUUGAGACUUUGAUGGUCAAUGAAGAUAUGGAAUCUUUCUCUAUACCGAUAACGCCUCUAAAUUUCCAGAACAACAUAACUACUACAAGUUCUACAACGUGCGUCGGGUAAUUCAACUCACAAGAUCUCAACUGACGAGACACGUAGGCAACAACUCUAUCAUGCUAUAUCAACACAUAACUCAAUCCUUUAUACGACGCAUCACUGUGGAUCUCAACCCUCCUGAACCAAAUGGAAUAGUAAGCAUAAGUGCGGUAGUCAGCCUCUUCUUAGGCCCUUGAAUACGCUCGCACUUAUCUGUCUACACGAACUUUUCUUACUUCCUCAGUAGUCGAAUCAACUGCAACGCUAACACUGAAAACCCUUCCAUAAAACUUCUGUAAUAUCCUGCUAAUCCUCAGAAACUUCAAAUCUCUGUCACUGUAGUCGGUCUUUGCCAGUUAAUCACUGCUUCCAUCUUGGCGGGGUCUACGAAGAUUCCUUCUCUUGAAAUCACUUGACCUAGGAACGCAAUACGAGUCAUCCAAAACUCACAUCUGUUAAGCUUAUUGUAAAAUCCAAAAGUACUCGAGGUCUGAAGUACCAUCCCCAAAUGUCUCUCGUGCUCCUCAGCACUCUUUGAACACACUAGGAUAACUUCAACGAACACAAUCACAACUGAUUUAAGUACCCUUAAACAUUAUGCUCAUUAGACCCAAACAAACAGCUAAGGUGUCCAUCAAACCACACGGCAUUACAGUGAACUCAUAACUGCCGUAUCGAGUGCGAGAUGCUAACUUCGGUAUGUCUUUCUUCCUGAUCCUCAACUGAUGAUACCCUGACCGCUAGUCAACUUUGAGAAACAUCAAUGCACAAACACAACGAACCAACUUUCUUCUUCACAAAUAGAACAUAUGCUCCCCAAGGUGAUACACUGGAACAUAUGAAUCCCCUAUCCAAUAAUUCCUGCAUCUGCACCUUCAGUCCUUUUAACUUGAGUAACACCAUCCGGUAAGGAGCCUUAGGGACUGGCUCUGUUCCGGGUGACAAUUCAAUCACGAACUCUAUUUCUCUUUCUAACAACAAACCUGACAAUUUUUCAGAAAAUACCUUAGAAAACUUCUGUACCACGAUUCAGUUUUUCAUAAUCGGCUCCUCAACUAUGCAUCCAUUACAGUUGCCAUGUAGAUUUGGCAACCAACAACUAGAACCAAGGUCGUCUUCAGUGACGAAUAACAGGGAUCGAAGGUCCUUUUUGACUUUCAGUAAUUCCAAACUUUCAUACGCUAACUGAACAAACUGAAUUAUAUCACUGCCACGAUUCAUAACAGCAGAAAGCUUUUCGAGCCAAACCCUUUUCAUAAAUGACUUCCAAGUCAUACAUAAGCAAACCCAUCAGGUACAACUAUAUUCAGAGACUCAUCUUCCUAUUACUUAUUACCACAACGAAAAUCCUACAACCUUCACUGAAAAUUCUGCUGCACUACUCUGAUAAAAACAUCUCAAAAACAUUCUUCCCUUGAUCGAUGCAUGGUCAGUCCAUUAUUAUUCCUUUCUCCAUCCCAGUGGCGUUCUAUCUGUAGUAACAGUGCUUACGCUCUUCUGAACUUACACGGGCAGUUCCUAACUUGACGGCCGUGCUGGCCACAUUCAAAUCAUGCUCCAUUUUUACUCUGACACUAGGCUAACUCAAGCCUCAUUUCCACAUACUCGGCACACAAUUAGUGAGUCAUCUACCUCCUAUCAAGGAAUAUCAUGCACCCUUCUUUGCACUGAGGUCUGUUCCAAGUACCCCACUAAGUGUCCCGAAGCAUGCUUCUUCUGUUCUGUCUUAUCAACGGCGGUGACAGAAAAGCUGUGAUUCCAUCUGUUUAUACAGACAAUCUUUGAUCAAAGGACUGUACUGGCGACCCUUGUAGCAAGUCCUUUCCCUCUUACAGCAUGUGACAGAUCCAUGUCCUUUCUUACAGACACGACACCCAUCGAUCAAGUUGAGCGCUGACUUUCCGAUUCUACUCUUCCGGUUAGGUGAAAUGGGGCACCUUUCUUCUGACAUCGGCAUUUCCCCCAAUCAAUUUCCAUUUCUACUUAAACUGAACUUUGACUCAGAUACGAUGGCUUGGUCCUCGAUCACAAUUCCAUAUUAGGCCUCAACAGGCGCGGCAACAACAACGGUCACAACACUGGCAACGGUAGAAACAACGGCAACAGCAACGGCUCCGUCCUGAGCUUACUAACCCAACGAGCUUCCAAGGAACACUAGCGCCUGAAUGAUCCCAACAAACCUAAGAUCGUUCGGUGCUGCUACACUCUAAGUACCGACUUGUGGCGGUACACUCACACUUGCGCUGGUCUAAGCCAGCGCUUCGCCACGACCAUCUCGGGUACCGAUCCCUGUCGGCACACCACCCCGAGUAACUAGUCUAAAGGUUCUCUCUAGGAGUUCUCUGCUCCUGAUCACUCAUCUACAGGAUCUUUACAGAAACCUGUUUCUCAAUUCUAAUCCCAUAUUAGAAUUUGAGUGAUCCACGCCAAAUAAUCUACCAAACAACUAUCAGCCACAUGCACCAGCAUGAAUUAAAAGUCAUUCCUACUAACUAUCCCAUAAACAAUCGCACCUUAUCACUCCAUUCACAAACCCACUCUGAUACCACUUAAACGGGAAUGUCACGCCCCGAACCUUGAGCGCGCCAACAUCCCACCAUGGUCAUGCAAAUGCGACAUUCCCAGGUAGUGUCGCCGACCCCAUUCAUUUAUUAUUGCAAAAGCGGAACAUAUUAUAAAACCCCCGACAAUGAAAUACGGGAUAGAAAAGCAGGAAGCAAAACCACAACAUAACACUUUCAUAAUUCAACAGAAUUACAAACAGAAGCCUACAGCCAAAAGUCAACAAAAGACCGGCUCUUAAAAAGGAACUGUCCUACGACCUACAAGUCGGACACAUUCUCCAAUCCUUAUGACUUCACCUCUGCAACUCCUCAAGGCCAACUAAAGCUAUAUGGUCGCUCCGUCUACCAAGGACCGGAUUAGCGAGCCGAGUGGACCAAAACAACGAGGGCGACGCGAGGAUCGACUUCCCUCAAGGCGGGCCGAGCAUUCGAGCUCGAGAAGGCGGCCAAAAUGGGCCAAACAUGGGCUGCCAUACCCAUUUUUUCAGCCACUGAUUUGGGGCCGAGAAGGGCGGAUCCGACGUCAGUUCGGACGGAGGAACGACGGAGGAGGAUCAGCGGGGCUUGGACGAGCCGGUGGGGAGGUCAACGGAGGCUCACGGCGGUGGGGACGAGCUCCAGCAGCUCCUGGAACACACGAACCGAGGCUGAGACGCAGCUGGGCAUCGGCCAAGCGCGGGCAACGGUGGAGCGCGAGACGGCGAGCGGCGAUGGCGGAGGGCAGUAGUGUCGCGCACGGCGUGGGCUACUUCAGCGUCCAUCCCAAAUAUGGGAUCUCGGGCAGCAAAUGAAGAUGGAGAGAAAGGCUUCGACGACAGCUGAGGAGGAUGAGGAAGGCGGAGGGUAGCGCGCACGGCCGAGGAGCAGCGAUGGCGGACGGCGGCGACAACAAGCGGACGGGCGACCGGUCAGGCGGAGGCUACUGCAACCGGAUCUCUUCUGCUGUUGGCCAUUGAAGAAGAAGAAGAAGAUGAAGGGGGUUGCCGACGGAAGAGAGAGGAAGAAGAGAGGGAGGAGAGAGAUGGGACCAUUUUUUUUUCUUUUUCUUUUUCUUUAACCCACAAAAAUGGCCCACCACCAUGACAUCACAUGGUGUCAUACUCCACUAUCUCCAAACCUCCCACAAUAAUCUUCAAUGGGUCCAAUUUCAUUUUCUACCGGGGCUAUCUUGUACACUAAUUUCUCCAAUUCCAAUCAAUUCUCUUCCAAUUGAGUCCAAUUAAAGUCCAUAAAAUUAAUCCAAUGUCACCGCACUUCAAUUCACAUCUUCACUUGUCCGUAGAACUAACUUAAGUCCCAAAAGCGCGACCAAAGACGAGCCUACUAAUUUCUCGAGCCAAAUUAGCCAUUCUUUGAUUUAAUUGCUGAAAAAAUUCUAAUUACAUGAAAAAUCUUCUACAGAUGAGUUAAUACUCCAAAAAUGAUUUGUGACACACCCAGACUUCCAAUUUCUGAAUUCGAUCUCAAUUCCACGGUUAAUUUCACUUUGGCACGAUACUAGCGCGGCUCAACCUACCGGGUAGCCUUUAGAAAUUUUCAUGCAUUUGACCUGUGGUUGAUCAUCUCAAGCCACAAUGUACAUCUUUGAAACAUUGGCGACUUUCGGUUGUCGGCGUAAUCUCAAGGUUUCAAAUACGAACACAGGGUACCCAAUCGAUAGAAAAGUCGGUCCAGUGCCGAUCGACAAGAAUUGUGCGAUCUGGUGGAAUCACCCACACUCGAUCACAUGCCUUUGUCGAGUCAACCUAUCUCCGGUCUCUAAUUGAUUUUUAUUUGUGCCGUAAUGACCCUUGCAGAUUAGCUCGGUCGAAAGGUCGCUUCCUGGUCAAAUUCUCAAGUCUGAUGCAUUAGAAACUCUUAACGGCUUCACCCGAUAGACUAGUUUUCACAUGAGUAGCCGACUCAAGAAAAAGAACUAUAGGUGUGCCAACGAAAUGCCCGUCUCAAUUUAUUGAAAAUAGGAUUGGAAAAUCGGGGUGUCACAACGUCAGUACCUGCAUUACGGGGAGAUCAGACAUUUACAGUCAAAAUCUGAAGAACGUUAGACUAGUAUUAUUAGAAGACAUUAGACAUUCGUGGUUAGAAUUCCAAUAAUGUCAGAAUCAGUGUUGCCAAAAGAUCAAACAUUCAUAGUCAGAAUUUGAAAAAUAUCAGAAUCAAUGUUAUGAGGACAUCAGACGUUCGUGGUCAAAAUCUGAGGAACGUCAAAAGCAAAUUUUUGGAGCACGGUCCAAGACGUGUGAUUAGCCCAUUUAUCACUUUUAUGUACUUUUAUUAAAAUGCAUGAACAAUGCUUUGAAAAUACGUGUAUGGACGUUUUUACUUUUGUUACUUAUCAUUUUGAUUCAAAUUUAUCUAUGCAUAUAUUCUUGUUUAUCAAAAACAAAUCCCAACAUUGUCUUCAUGUGGGGUCAAUAUGGCAGAUGUGUCACUUGAAGGUCUCUCUCUCUCUCUCUAAGUUUGAACUUUUAAUAUGCAUACUAUCUGUAUGACAGAGACUACCAAAGACAAGUAGAUUCGACAUAAUCCUAAAAGGGAGAUGCCAGAAUGGAUUUUCCACGAUAAAGGGGUUCAACAUCUUUCAUAAUUCCCGAGGACUUGUAUGACAAGUCCUUGAGACUAGCACUCUCUAGCGUUCUUGGCUUGGAAGAAGAAGUGGUCGAUGCUUCAUGUGAGGUCAAAAUAUUUGUUAAUGGCCGAAGUUUGACUUAAAACUUGAAAUUAUUUUUUUCCUUGGAAUCUGAUCAUGUGAGGCUUGAAUAUUUACCACUCGUUAGACUGUGUGAACCACGAACGCUUCUGCAAAAGGAUUGGUGUCAUUGCCAAGUUUGCUUCAACGCAAUGAAAGUAAGCACAAAGAAGUGUGGAUUUUAUCUAACAUGCAAGUAAGAGGAGGAUGAUCUAAGGGUCUGCACUCCAACACCAUCAGCCAAUAAAAAAAAAAAAAAAAAAGGAGUUUUAAGGAAAGAGACUCAAAGGAAGACAAUUGUCAAUAGACACCGAGGAAGAAUAUAGUCCAGUGGAACAAAACUUAAACAAAGAAGAUGAAAUGGUCUUUACCGUGGCAAGAGUAUGGCUUGCAAAACAUGCCUGUCAAAUUGGUCAUGACUUGUUGAGGAAAUGAUUCCAGGUAAUUUUGAUUCCAAUGUCUCUCACUUUUCCCUUUUUUCAUCUCUACUAGAAAUUUGAAAAUGUCUGCUCUUUCAACCAAAAUUUAAAAUAACUAUGAAACAGAGGUUUCACCUCAUGCUGCUGACAUGGUUGAGGAACUUCUUCGUUUUCCUCUCUUUUUUUAUGAUUUGUGAUGCUAAGUGCAUAAAUUCAAAAUUAAAUGGAUGCUUGUUGAAUGGCCGUUGAUCUUCCAAGUUGCUCUGUGUAAUUUAUCAUAUGAACCUCUGUCACCUCUCUUAAUUCAAUUAAUUAUGCCAACACUACAUACUCUAAAAAUUUAGAUGGUAAGUUUUGCUCAAUCUAAUAUAAUCUAUAUCUUUGGGAAAGCGUUGAUUAAAUUGUCUCACUGAUCAAGAGGUACAAAGGGAGAGCUUUAUCUUUAAGACUUUGCAUUUAAGUCAAGGACACUGACAUUGAUAAGUACAAAGGGAGAUUAGUUGAUUCCUCCGUUGUGACUAGCAGAUUGCAUUAAUAGGUACAAAGGGAGAGCUUGAUCUUCAAGACUUUGCUUUUAAGUCAAGGACACCGACAUUAAGCAACUAGCGUUUGGUAAACACCUUGUAAAAUAUUUGCUGCAAAGCAAUUUUAAAAUAAGAAAAAAGAAAAGGAGAACAAAGGACUAUGUAGAUGUAUAUGAAAGCACAGGCGAGUGGCACAACGGUGGGACCGAUUCUGGCGUUGCACGACCCCAAGCGAUGUGUCAUUGAGGUCGAGCAAGCCCACACAACACAACAUCUAUGUUGUGGGACCCCAAGUGACGCAUCGCCAAGGCCACCCGCUAGGUAACGUGACACUUGACCCUCAGCAAGCUAAAAUUGGCAUUGAGCGACCUUGACCGAGCUUCCUAGCAUUGUGCAACUAUCGACGAGUUAGAUCUAGUGUCAAGCAAUCCUCAAUGAAAGUUGGGGACUUAUCUUGAGCUUUGAGUAUUUUCAAAACAAAAAUUUGUACAAAAAAUCUAUGAAAUUGUGUUACCAAAUGUCAAAACUUUGAAUCAAGGGCAUUUGGAGGCCCAAAACAGGUUAAUUCGGACACUCAAAAUUUUUAAUGGCUAAAUUAGAUGGGAUUGAAGCGGAAGGUGAAAUUGGAAUAUACCAAAAUUGCCUUUAUAUUCUUCAUUGCCUUACAUUAAAAUCCAAUGAUGUAGAAAUGACAUUUGCUGAUUUCUCACCGACAUCUUAAGCUAAAUAUAAGAUUACUAUAGUCUCCACACAAGUGACCUAAUCACAUUAUGAGAGAAUGAGAUAUCAAAAGCUCAUUACUAAACUAUCACUUACAAUCAUUGAAGGUUCAAGAUCAUGUGCACCGGCGAUGUCUUUUUUCAAUAUCUAAUUUCUUGGAUCGUAACAUGUAUUCAGGCAUCGUAUGAUUCACCAGUCAUAACAUCACUCCUUCGCUCUCUCUCUUUCUCUCUCUCUCUCUCUCUCUCUCUCUCUCUCUCAUGUGCAAACAAAUUUAUACUCCACAAAGGACAGGAAAGAACUACCAACGCUAGUGACCCUCUUUUGGAUGUCACCCCAUAAAGAGUAUCGUUGACACCUAAAUUUUGUCCAUUGUUCAAGUGUCCAUUUUGGGCUAAAACAUGAAAGUGCAAAUAAUAAUAAUUAGAAUUAGUUCAGCCCAAAAUCUAAUCCCCUCAGCCCAUCUUUUAGUUCCCUUUGAGCCCAUUUCUUUUGUUCCUUUUGUUGUCCCCAAUAGCCCAUCUGAACUUAAAACAAGAAGGCCCAGCCCAUAUCCCAGGCUCCUUCCCUUUUGCUUGCUCCCGUCCGUGAGCGAAGAAGACGCGAGCAGUGACCGAGCAAGAGAGGCGUCCGUGAGUCGGUCCGUGAGAGAACAGCGAGAGAGGGAAAAUAACAUAAAAGAUUCCUUCUCGGGGAGAGAGAGAGGAGGAGGAAGCUCGACGACAUGGAGAGUGCGUGCACGACGAUAUAGGUGAGCAGGGGAGCUAGCUCGAAUGGGAGAGAAAGGGAGAGUGCAACCCGUUUCGGAGUAGCAGAAAACCGCAUCGCCGGAGUUCGCCGUCGGUUUUCAGAGCUCCGGUCAACGGCCAAUCCGCGAGUUGUUCUUCGCAGAUUCGGUGUCGAAGAUCAGACGAGUACUGAGAUUUAUUCCACAAGCAGAGGAAAAGCUCUAACCAGACGCCCUUCAUCGUCGUCAAUCGAGAGCUCGAUUCGCCGAACAAACCAGGUACAGUCUUGCUCCAAACGCUCUACUUUGUCUCUGUUUUGGCCGAGAAAGACGUGCUCGGUUCGAUCGAUUUUCUUGAAGAGAAAACGAAGUUUCUUUGUUGCUAACCAUGGUGUUUUAAGUCUGUUUGUAACGUGUGAGGCUGAGGAUCUCGUUAAAAUUAAAACAGAAAACCAUUGAAAGAUCUGCGUAUUGCAUGUUUGACAAAAUGCUUAAAAGAGGCCGAAUGUCAAGUCCCGUCUAAAUUCAAGAUCGAUUCCUUUUUUCCGUGCUUUUGUUGAAUCAUAUCUAAUACUGGCAUUUUCUCUGUGUUUCUAUGCGAUUUGAUGAAAAAUAUUUGCUUGAGUCCAACGUACAUGCGUAUCUCCAAGGCCGGAAAGCUUUUUGUCAGAGUUUCCCCUUGCACCAGCGAAGUAAGGGUUUCAGGGGCAUACUAGUUAGCCCAUCUCACUUCAUUCUAAUGUAUUUUUUCUUGUUAAUUUGUUGGGGAUGCUGCGGUGAAAAGUGUGGAUUAGGUAGGAUGGUUUUUGUUAAGUUUCGCGAUAAUGGAGCAGGCGGCCAGAGGUGGUCAACGUCGGAGCGGCAGUAAUCUAAGUUCUGGUGAUGAAAUCGUCAACGAUGGUAUUUUGUUUCGUUAAAAAGAAAAAAUGGCGGGAAAGGUGGGGUUGCAGGUUGAAAAUGGCGUUCGGGUAAAGGAUGUCUGGAGGAAGAAGAGGAAGUGCAGGCAGAAAAAGACAAAAAGACAAAGAGAAUAAAAAAAAAAAAAAUCCAGUUUUAAUCCGACGCGGGUCGGAUUCGGGUAUAAGGGUCCGGUCAAUGGGUCGGAUCGAGUAAACAGUCCGAACCCAUUCCCCGAAUAUAUUAUUAAUAAUAAUAUUAAAAAUUUUAAAAAUCCAAAAAGUCAUUAAAAAAUUUUAAAAUUCGAAAAAAAUUUAUAAAAAUUCAGAAAAUGAUAAAAACUUAGGAAAUAAUAAAAAAUUCGAAAAUUCGAAAAUCAAUAAAAAAAUCAGAAUUUUAAGAUAAUCAUUAAAGAUUUUAAAAAUCCAAAAAUCAUUAAAAAAUAAAAAAAAUCGAUAAAAAAAUUUAAAAAUUUUGAAAAAUGAGAAAAAUCAUAAAAAUUUAUAAAAUUCAGAAAUAUAAAAAAAUAGAAAAUUAUAAAAAAAAAAAAAAGUGAAAAAAAUUAGAAGCCCUUAGAAAUUGAAACCCAUAUUUGGACAAGUCUUUAGAGUUUUACAAUAGGGUUCUUUAGUGGUUUGGAUUUUUUUUUUUUUUAAGGAACAAUAUUAGGAAGCUUGUAUGUUUUCUUUUUAUUAUACACAGUUGUAUUUUUUAAUAUAUUGGAUGUUAUUUCUUUUGUUUUAGGAUGGUCAGGACAAAACUUAAAUUUUUCAAUAGGUUGCCAUGGCGUUAGUUAACAUAAUCAAGUUAGGUACUGAAAGGGCGUUAGUGUUAGGGCUAACGUAAUUAAAUCCUGAGUUUAUAAUCUUUGAUUGUAUAAAUAAUAGGAUAUUCUCCUGUAUCUUACUAAUUUCUAACCACCCCCAAAAAAAGCUAGUGGUGACUUUUUUGUUAAAUUUGCAUAGGCUAAAUUGAUUGAAAUUUUCAAUAUUUAAUGUCGUGCAAGGUAUGAAUUUGGAAAGUCAAUGAAUGGUCAUUGGGCUUAAGUUGACAAUACCCUCAAACUUAACAAUGAGUUAGGUCACGACAAGUAUAUACUAUUUUUUCAUUCAAAAAUAUAUAUUUUAAUCCACAUCAAUGAGAGCAAGAGCAACACCAUUGAUAGAAAAUGAUUAAUAAAACCCAAAGCAAUGUACCGAUUUCUAUUUAUAUAUUGGAAUUCCAUUAUACCAGCCUUCCUUAUUGUUGUGAUUUAUUUUGAGUUAACAACGUUUGAGAAAAAAAUCCAAAAGGAUGACUCUACAAAAUUGCCACACGAAGACCAACAAAGCGCGAAGCAAUGUUGGGCAAAUUCACGAGAAAAAUCCUGGGCCGACCCGAUUUGAAACAAGCUUGG
rnacentral:lncRNA from 1 species